rnacentral:lncRNA from 1 species
AGAAUGAAUUCCAAGGAUUGACAUUCCCUAAUAAUCUAGCCGGAGGGCCACCUACCAUUACUGGCGAAGAAAUUCUGAAAAACACAUGGCAAGUAGAGAUGGGUUAUUCUAAGUGGAUUGAUAUCGCUAUCCUCUUAGGAAUGGUGAUUCUUUACCGUCUCAUGUUUUUGGGAAUCAUAAAACUUGUUGAAAAGGUUAAACCAAUCAUCAGAGCUGCUUUUGCUGGUGCUCCAAGACAAUCAAAACAUGUCUAGAGAAUCCCUCUUCCUCACUUUCCGAUGAAGCUCGUGCUUAAUAUGUCUUGCUACUUUAUAGUAUCUUUUUUAAUUUUAUCUUCUUACCAAGUUAAACUGUGUAGCUGGGGAAUUGCAGAUAAUAGUUUAUGCAAAUAUUGAUUGUUAAAUAUUAGUUUUAAUUAGCGGCUGCAAGAAGCUUAGUUUGUUGUCCUUUGAAAAAACCUGUAACCUGUUAGUUGUUGAUCAUUUCUUGCACCAUUUUUUUUUUUAAUUCCAGAGGAUUAUAGUAUCUUUAUAGUAUCAUUUCUUCCAACCAUUUCAUAUUGAAGAUAAAAUGAUAGAGAAACUUAUAGCAAGUUUAUUUUUGUAUUUUAAAUUUUUUUUAUUACUUUAAAUUAAUUUUUUUUGUGUUUUCAGAUUAUUUUGAUGUAUUGAUAUUAAAAUUAAAUUUUAAAAAUUAAAAAUAUUAUUUUGAUGAAUUUUCCAAAAAAAAUAUUUUAAACAAUAAUCGUAACCAUAAUAUCAAACAAGCUCUAAAUUAAGUUAAGAUAGAUUGACAUUCUCUCGAGGAUAAUAAAAAAAAUAUGUAUCUAUUUAUUUUCUGUAUGAUAUAAAAAUAUAAAAUGCAAAAAAUCAUUUCAAAAUUAUUGAAAAAUAAUUUAUUUAAUGUAUUUUUCUUUAUUUUUUAAAAUCAAACACCUCUGUAUUGACAACCAAACGCGACUAACAAACACUAAUUUGAACAAAUAAGAAUUAUGAUGGGAUUAAAGUUUGCUUGCUGUUUUUGUUUUUUAUGAUGAAAAUUGAAAAUUAGGCGAUGCAUUAGGGAUUAAUUAAAAACGUUAUAAUUAAAGAUAAACGAUCUGUCAUCUGCUUAAUGUCAGUAUCAGCAAACGACAGCAUGUAAACAACAUCUAUUUUCCACGUCCCAUGUAACUCCACGGCUCCACCGAUAGUAGAAAAACCCGAAUAUCCAGCUCCGAAAAGAGAGACGCCACCAGUUUCUAGAAACAAAAGAAGGAAAAAAAAACAAGAAGAGAUGGAGGAAGAAGAACAUGAGGUUUACGGUGGAGAGAUUCCUGAUGUGGAAGGGGAUAUGGAUCCUCACAACGCCGACGUUGACAUGUCCGCCGCCGAUGACGAUGCCGUCAAGGUCCUUCAACUUUUUUUCCAUUCAAUUUCAGUUUUUAAUUAUAUAGUUAACCGAAGCCCUAGAAAUUUAAAUUCGACCUUCGGUUAUUUAAAUAUUGAGAAAUCGGUAACUGAUUUUUAGUUUUUUGGAUGAUAUUGUAUUGGUGAAGGAGUUGGAUGAGAUGAAGAAGAGAUUGAAGGAGAUGGAAGAGGAAGCGGCUGCUCUUCGUGAGAUGCAAGCUAAAGUUGAGAAGGAAAUGGGCGCUGUUCAAGGUUUAUUUUACUUUUCCUCUUUCUUUAAUAAAAAAACUAAUUCUGUUACUGAUUUUUAUUUCUUUAAUUUUUGUGUGUCGGAGGAAUAUAGAUCUGUUAGCACAUACGCUGUGAUGCAUAUCUAUUUCUUAAAUAAAUUUUCAGGUGUUCUGGAUUUGGUCUGCUGCUGUUCUUAAAUAUUUUGGGGUGUAAUUUAAACAUCUGGUUAUCUAGGAAUUUGUUGUCUUGGAAUUGGGUUACCGGGGAUAUUUUAAGGUUAUUUGUUUGUUUAAAUGGUGAUGUUUAAGGAAAACUUGUAAGAGAAUAUUCUGAUAAGAUUAAAAGGCAGUUUUUGCUACAUUGUGAUUUUACAUUUUUAAUAGAAAGAAGAGUAGCUGGAAAUUCGGGAUUUUUGGAUGAUGAAAUCAGCGAGUAGGACUUUGUACUUCUGUAGUUUUUGUGAAGCUUACUUUUCUAAGUGGUUUGGAAAUUUUGGCAGACAACAUUGUGCUAAUCUGAGAUUUGGGGUGCUAUUUAGUUGUGCUUUACAGAAAUUGUUUCUAGAAAUACGCUUCCCAACUAUAUUCUGGGAUGGGGAGUUCUGUUUAUAAAGUAAUAAAAAAAAAUUCCGCGCCCAGUUUCUGUGAGAUGUCCUGACUCUUUUGCACUGAGAUUUAUUAUACAUUUCUUUGCAACAUGGUUUUUGACCAGUAGACAUCUCUUUGUUGUUUCUGUUAUGUAUGACCAAAGUGUAUCAUGUGAUUCGAGGAUUUCAACACAUUGAAGUCUCUACAUCUGUUUUUCUUUUUUGCGUUUAUUUUAUAGCAUAUAAGUAUUAUAUCAUUUAGCAUUGUUGUACUUGUAGUUUACUGUUUGAGUGGUUCUUGUCAGAGGUGCUAUUCAUAUUUUAUUUUUCUUCAUAUCCCCAGCUGGUCUCUUAAUUUCUCUCUCUGUUUUUCUUUUCUUGAAACUUGAGCUCAUAGUAUGUAUUUGCAUGGCUUCAUUUUCCCACAGAUCCAGCUACUGCAGCUGCUAAUCAAGCAAACAGGGAGGAAGCAGAUUCUCGUUCUGUGUUUGUUGGCAAUGUGAGAAAUAUAAUGUCUUGUACCCUUGACCUUCUGCCUUUAGUAGAAUGCUUGAACCAUUCUAUGCAUACUGUUUAUAUGUGUAUGCGUGUACAUAUAAGAAAGAAAGAAAGAAGAUAUUAUAUGGAUAUAUUAAUGACAUGGCACAAUUUCCAAUAGUUGUCCAAAACAUCUCAUUAAGGGUUUAAUCUAUUUCCAUAAGAGAUAAAUAAACUAUGUAGAUGAAUACAAUUCUAAUUAUAUAGCCCUUUUGCAACCACUAGUGGUUUUGGGCUUCAGGCUCUGCCAAGUGACAUUAAUUUUAGUAGUUAAAAAAAUGUGUUAAUGUUAGUUUCAUUGUUUUCGGUUCACUUUUGGAUAAUUGUAAUUCAGAGUCAUGGUUUGACUUUAUGUCUCACUAUGAUCGCAGGGGUCUUCUUACUCUCCAAGUUCUCUGUAUGUAUUGCUGGAUAGUAACAAUAUAUUUUGAGGGUGGGCCAAGGUCAUUUUUAUGUCAAAUAGGAUAGUUUUACAAGAGAUUAAAGUAUCAGUUUUGAAUUUGAAAGAAAACAGAGAAAAAACAGAAUAAUCUGUAAAUUGAGGAAAUUAUGUUCAAAUUUACUUGACAAAAAAAAAAGGAAUAAAAGAAACAUUUGAGGGGGGGAUGCUUGCCAAAAAGAACAAACAGAAAAAAGAAGAAGAAGAAGAAGAAGAAGAAGAAGAAGAAAAAAGAUGAGAAAGAAGAAAGAAAGAAGAGAAAUGAAGAAAGAAAGAUGGAGGAAAAAGUGAAACAUGAAAUAAAAAUGCAAAAAAAGAAAAAGCAUAAAUAAAGGUGGUGUAUGAAUGAAAUCUAUUUGAAAGAAAGAAAUGGAGUGAAGGAAUUUGGCAAAAGGCUCAUUGGAGGUCGCUGGAACAGAUGCGUGUAGGAUGUGAAUAGUGAUGCUUCAACCAUGAUAUUUGAGGAGAAAGUUGUUGCUUUUGAGGAGCAUGGGCAAGUUGGGAUGUGCAAUCUAAGUUGCAGAACCUCGACCCUGCUGAUGAUGGGCUUUGGUUCUUCCGAAAUGUGUGAUCAUGUGGCAGAUGGGACAAGGGUGUAUAUUGCUGCUUUUUGUGGUCAGAAUUACUAACUUUUUUUCAUGUUAGUUUAUCUAAAGUGUUGGAAAUAUUUGACAAAUAUGUGCUCUUUCCUUCCCAGGUUAACUUGCUAUGAGUUCUUUGAAGACUGUUUGCUCAUUGCUCGAUUUUCUCUUUUUGUCAAGAAUGCUAUUAGCUUAUUUUGAUUUGGUCAUUUGAUGGUUUAUUUAAGAUGCAUCUUAGAUCUGAUGUUUCUUUUGAAUGAAGCCCAACUCAGUACAUUACUGACUGCUUGUGCAUCUUUAUUUUUAUUUGCUUUGAGGAAAGAAACUUCACAAUCUUAGUUUGAAAUACACUGAUCAGUUGCUUAAUCACUCUGGACAAUCUAGAUUGGACAAAUUGUAAAAUCUCUUGUUCUAGUUGAUAUUUUUCCUCUUACACCACCCUUCUUUCAGAUUUAACAAAAUUAAAGAGAUUUAAAUAUAUUAACCAGUCAUUUAGGUGCACUAUCAGGAGUUUAAGCACCAAAAAUACCAGACAUGUUUUUUCUAUACGUUCAUUAAUAUAUCUUAUGCUUGUUUUCUAUUUUUUCCAUUAUGACUGAAGCUAUUUCUUAAUUUUGUUUUAUGAGUCUCUGUUAAUCUGCUUCGAUGAUUGAGUUUCAAAAUUUCAUAUAUUUUAACUAUCUUCGUUUACUUGAAGCCAUCAUUUGCUCUACACGCACACAAACACAUAUUUCUUGUCAUCUUGGAAUGAUGAUCAUUUUUAAUGGGCUUGGUUCAUGGAUAUACUUGGCCUAUCUCUUUAUAUAAUCAUCUGUGCACAACCUGGUGCAUCAGAGUCUUACUUAUGUAAGCUGCUCAGGCUAUUUCGGUCCUAACAAACAUUCAGGGUUUUCAACUCUUUUGAAAUUUCAUAGCACUUUAAUUUUGAUCCUUUGUUUACUGUCAUGCUUCUAGUUGGACAAGGAACAAUAGCAAUGUAACACUUGAAGGUCAUGUGAAAAACGUGAGGAAAGAAACUACCUGUGUAAAAAUCCACUGGAGGAUCAUACAUGAAAGAAGGAUGAGUGUAAAAUACUUUUGGAUUAACGCCUGAUCUAAUAGAGCUGAGAUUAUAUAUUCGCAGUAAACACAAGAAUGUUUGGUUACUGUUUGAAAAAAAUAAAAUAAAAGAUCAAUAUUGUUGAUGGUGCUAGGAAGAAGUCAAAUUAGAAGCUGGCAUCUGGAAAAACUUUUUCAAGCUCUUCAUUGGAAAAACAGGAUGGUUAGUAGGAUGGUUUUGUUGUGUCAUUAGAAGGUUGAUGUUGGGAUGGUGAAAUAUGAUUUAUUAUGACUCUAUGGAUGCAGUGAUGAGAAGGGUUUUUAAUACUGAACCGGUGGCUCAACUGCUGGACAUUGGCAAGCUUUUUCAGCAAAGCUGGUCUAUUGUUGUUAUACUAGUAUGCACUUUGGAAAUUGAUAUUUUGACUUAAAAUGAUCUUGUCAAGUAAAAAUAUAAUGGCUGGAAAGCGUGAAUAUAAUGUUUUAGGAGGUACUUUGGCAUGUGGCGAACUUGAUGUGCCAUUGAUAGGAUUGGUAAAUUGUAGUUAAUGAAUGCUAUAGAAAAAAUAAAAGGAAUAGGAAGAGUCCAUUUGAUGUUUUUCUUUUCUUUUCUUUUUUGGCAUCAAUUUGCCCUGCUUUGUGAUCGCUUGAUUGAUUAUCUGUAUUGCAUAAAGAACACUCCAAAAUGCAUGGUUGUAUCUAGCUGUUAGAAUUGAAAUAACAUCUUCUGGAAAAAAAAUUAGCCACAGUUAUUGUUUCUAUUUGAGCUCAAUUUGACAAUGAAACAUAACGGUGAAAUUUGCGAUUGCAGGUUGAUUAUGCAUGCACACCUGAAGAAGUGCAGCAGCAUUUUCAGUCCUGUGGUACAGUAAACAGGGUUACUAUUCUGACAGAUAAGUUUGGCCAGCCAAAGGGUUUCGCUUAUGUGGAAUUCCUUGAAGUAGAAGCUGUUCAAGAGGCUCUAGCUCUCAAUGAAUCUGAACUACAUGGCCGUCAAUUGAAGGUAAGCCAUUAUUCUUCUAUAAAAAUAAAAUUUAAAGCUUGGUUCAUUGAUAUGGAGCUGGACAUGAAUUCUAACUACACACCAUGAAUGGGAGAUUAAAUUUGUGAUUGCUGCUGUUGAUAUCAUGUUGGUUCUAUUUUGUGGUUUUUGUUGGUUGAUAAUUAAUCCGUGUUUCAGGUUUCACCCAAAAGGACCAACGUUCCUGGAAUGAAGCAGUAUCGACCUAGACGAAUCAAUCCCUACAUGGGUUACCGGUUCAGGAGGCCAUAUGCGCCCCCUUAUUUCUACUCUCCUUAUGGAUAUGGGUGUGUUUCUUCAUACUCUCAUUCCUGUGUUUGUUGCUAUGAUAGCCUUUUCUUUCAUACUUUUUCCUUAUUUCACCUUCUAAAUGGUGGCAGGAAGGUGCCUAGAUUCAGAAGGUCAAUGCGAUACAUGCCUUACUACUAAGAUGGAUUUCCAUCGGACGAAGGAGUUCGUAUCUGGUGGAUGAUCAUCCAAGAUUUUCAGAUUUCUUUUUUCAUAUUAUCAUGUGUGACUACCAUCUCUUUAUGACAUAAAAGAUUCCUGAAUUUAAAUCCAUUGGUAUGCCCAAGCCAACAAGUCUGCAGUUAAAAUUUUUACCUUAUAUAUGCAUAAGAUUUCGUGAAUUACAAAAAAUUGACACAGAAUUUUUCAUUAAAAUAUUUUCAGGGUGUGUAAGAAAUAAAGAACUAUUUUUUUUAAACUAAGAUUUUGAAAGACUUUAAGAGAUAAGAAAUUCUCGAAAUUGCUAAACCCUUGAGAUGUAUUUAAAAUGUCUUGGAGAUACAAAAACUUUUCUUUCUCCCAAAGAUUUAAGAAUUUUCAAGAAAUUUAAAAAAUUCAUAAAUGACUCGAUCAUCAAAUUGGUUUCCUCAAACAUUUCAAAAAGAUUUUAUUUCGUAAGCAUCUUUGACAAUCGUAUGUUUGAUUUGAAUUGAUACGGGGUCAAAUCUUUUACAUGGGAGUUCAUUUGUGGAAUCAAUACAAACACUUUGGGAUUUAGCUUGUUUUGUUGAGUUUAAAUUUUACUCUGGCUUCAAUUUAAGCAUGUGCUAUAUUUCUACUCGUGGGAGAACAUGUUCGAAAAGUUCCAAGAAAAACAAGUCGAUGACAUGGUUUGCGAAUGAACUCUCAAGGCUUAAUGAAACGAUUGAAUGUUAAAUGGUCAGAAGGGAUGAAUUCGAAGGCAUUCAUGUUUGAACAAUUUUUGUUGUUGUUGGGACAAGACAAAUAUGUUGAAGUCCAUAUCUAGUUUUGUAGCAUUUGUCUUCAAGUCCAAGAACAUAGAAAAUGUAAUAGAUCUACAUCUCCGCCUAGUUACUUCGCUCCGCCCCUUGAUGACAAAGUAAACAUAGCCGAAAGGCCCUUGAUUGGUAAUACGCUCUCUUCGAAAGACGCUCUACAUAGUGAUCCGUUGAGCGAGAGCUCUUAUACACGGGGCAUUCGGUUUACUAUGGCCGCCUGAAUCCGUAAGGCUGGUACUAGGAAAGGAGAUGAAUUGUUCACUCUCUCUCUCUGUUUGCUCAUCUACUCGGAAAAGAUAACAGUUAGAGAAUUGAUCAAAGAGGAAGACUGUGUUUGCCCAAAAAUUUUGAAUUUUUUUUAAGAGAAUUAUUCACUCUCUCUCUCUCUCUGUUUGCUCAUCUAACGCUACGAUAAUGAGGUGAUCGAGGGAUCAAAGACCACCAUAUAAUACAUAUAUGAUAGCCCUACAGAUGGCCAUGCAGAGUAUGAAAAAACCCUUAAGAGAGCGCAAAAUGAUUUUUUUUAUGGGGAUGAAAUUUGGCAUAAAAGAUUAUAUAUCAGACAACGUGAGGUUUGUCAAAGGACUGGGACUAAAAACACCAAACCUUCAAGAGUACUACAACCCCUACCUAUACAUGAAAAACCCUGGUCAUGAAUCUCAAUAGACUUCAUUGAAGGUCUGACUAAUUUUAAUAAGUAUUAUGUGAUCCUGGUGGUAGUUGAUAAACUAUCAAAGUAUGCUCGCUUUAUACCCCUAAUACAUCCCUACAACGUCUGCAAGGUAGCAUGGGUUUUUGCUUAGAAUAUUAUAAAACUACAUGGCUUACCAAAGAACACCAUCACUAAUAAAGAUACUACUUGUACUGGUAGCUUCAACAAGGGACUCUUUAGAGUAGAUGGAGUUCAAUUACAAAUGUUCUUGGCUUACUACCAUUAUUCAAACAAGCAAAUCCAAAAUCACUAACAAAACCCUAAAUAAUGGUCCAAAUGAUUAAGUGUGGUUGAAUGAUGGUAUAAUACUAACUACCAUACAUUCUUAAAAGCUACUUAUUUUGAAGUAGUCUAUGGUUACACAAUAUUUAAUCUAACUACUUGUGUACCAAACAUGACAACCAUUAUUAAAAGAACUAAGAAGGAGUUGUUGGUGUGAUGAGAUGAGCAAAAUAAGGACAACAUUGUCUAGGUACAUAAGAUUUAGCUUAAGAAUUUCCAGUUUUUUUUUUUAAUUUCAAUUUAGUUCUUAUUUUUUUAUAAUUAAGUCCUCAAAUUAAAUAAAUCCAGGUUUGUCAAUUUCUCCUUCCAUCACUUUACCUAAUUAUUUAGGUUCCCAAACUCAUUUGUUGCAAAAAAAUAAAACUAUUCUCACUCGAAUAGUCAUUCCUUGGUGAAGUAUAUAAGAAGUCCCUUUUUUUUAAGUAUGAUUUCCAUAUAAAAUCCUUUUUUUUAAGAGUAAUUUCCAUAUAAAACGAUAAUGGUUAAACUUAAUCUAGAAAAACUUAUGUCUCAAAGUUGAACUCAAAUUUAGAUAUGGUUUUUAAUGACUUGAUUAGCCCAAAACUCAUUAGAUCGAUCUUAAUUUUUUUUUUAGAAAAAAAGACAAUAUAAUCAUUUUAAUAAAAAUAAUUAACCUAAAUUGAGUGAUAAUUCACAAGUCGGUAACCCAAGCUAUUUUCCAAAGUUAAUCCCCGAAAGCUAGGUCCAGGUCAGACAACCAUGAAUAAAACCAAGUAACAAAACUAGGCAGGGGAUAUUUUGAAAAGCCACAGGCACCCACCUAUCUCAAGGAAAGAGAAUAUAUAUAUAUAUAUAUAUAUAUAUAUUCUUUCCUUGAUUAAAGGUCCAUGAAUACAUAAAUAAGACUUUAAUAUAAAUGUUAAAACAAAUUAACCAAUUUAUCCGGUACACCUUGCUUUUGCAAUAUGCAGCUUCCACUCAAAAACACUGCAUACACAAAACCCCUUCACAGAUAAGAUCAGCUUGAGAAAAUGAUAAAGAAAUUCCUUUGCAAAAGUGACUUUUCGAGUUGUUUUCAUAGUUCAAAACCACUAUGCCAAUGCAACAGCAAUAAGCAGUGGCUACGAAGCAAAGUUUGAUGGAUGAUCCAUGGGAAACUUAUUGAUCACAAAAUAAAUUUAGUCUACUGACCAUACAUAUUAGCACAGGGUUUCGAAGCUGCCUACUGGCCCAAGGAAAACAGACGUUGAGUUCCUAUCCUUCUUUUUCUAAGUCGCUCGGCAAUGAUAAAUGCAAGCUCAAGCGAUUGAGAAGCAUUGAGCCUUGGGUCACAAUGCGUGUGAUAGCGGGAGCUCAAAUCGUCAAAUGUUACUGUCCGAGACCCUCCAAUGCACUCAGUCACAUUCUGCCCAGUCAUCUCUAGGUGAAUUCCUCCAGGAUGGCUUCCUUCUUGCUCAUGGACAUCAAAGAAUGCUCGCACCUCAGCCUACAAACAACAAUAAUAUUAUCUCAAGGGUUGGAGAAGGGGGAUGGCAGAGCAAAAGAAAAUGAUUAUAAACGUUAAAAAUCCAGAGUAUAUCUGGGUCACAUUGUGAGGCAAGAGGGCGGGCAACAAAUGCUACAAUAACCAGGAUCCUAAGGGGGCACCUAUUGAUAUGAUAUUUAAGUGCUGUGAAUAUCAAUCUAUAUGGCAUGCGAAGGAAGAAUUCAGAUGAUGUCUCAUGAAAACAAUAUUACUCUGCAUUAUGUAAUUUUAAUUUGUGGAUUCUUCUCACACAUACUAUCUCAUGAUGAAGACUAUACUCCACUUAACAUGCAAAACAAAUUGUGAUCAAAUGCUACAAGUGACUGAAUACUUGAUGACAUAAUAGUAAGAAUGUGUGAUAAGUCAUACCAAAAUAGCAUCAAAGGGGCGUGUUUUCAGUCCACAAGGAGCCUUAAUGGUGUUUCCAUGCAUUGGAUCACAGACCCAUGUCACGAUUUGUCCCGCCCUACGAACAGCUCUGAUCAAGUGGGGAAACUUCACUCUCAUAUUCUCAGCACCCAUUCUAACAAUGAUUGUAAUCCUUCCUGGCUUGUUAUUAGAAUUAAAGAUUUCAAUGAGUUUAACUAGCUCAUUUGGAUCCAUUUUGUUGCUCACCUGCAUCACAACUUGCACUUUCAGCCUCUCAUUUCCAAUAUACAAAUACUCAUGCAUGACAAUAUUUCAUCAGCACUAGCAUCACAAAGAGAUUGCAUGUUCUCAGCAAAAAUGUUUUGCCAAAACAUUACAAAAUGAAAACAUUAAACAGUCAGCAUAUUGUCAUUAACUGAACAAAAAUAAUGAUUAUCAAGGACUUUCACGGACAUAUAAGUUAGACAAUAACAGCAACUACAGAUCAUAAAGUUAGAGACAGUUUCAUCAUGAAAUUCGCAUUCAAAGUACCUUGAUGCCAAUAGGGUUGGAAAUUCCUCUAAGGAACUCCACGUGGGCACCAUCCAGCUGGCGAGUACGCUCUCCACACCAAAGCAUGUGAGCAGAGCAAUCAUAAUAGAGGCCAGAAGUUGAAUCAAGCCUUGUGAGAGAUUGCUCGUAGGGAAGAUGCAAGCACUCGUGGGAUGUCCAAAAUUCAGUAGUUGUCAUGAUUGGAUGAUCCACUGUGAGUCCUGCUGCAGCCAUGAAUCCCAAGGCCUCAUCAACCCGGUUAGCAAGUUCUUGGUACCUGCGGAACAAUCCAGUGACAGCCAUGUUAAAUAUGUGAAAUGGCUCAUGAACUUCAACUUUAAUCUCCAGAGGACCACUUCCACAAGUGUAUCCAUAAAUUUAUUGAAAUAUACAUUGAAAAGAAACGGAAGUCCUCCAAUGGGAUUCACGUCCUUCUUUCAUGAAACUCAUAAAUUUAAGAAAUUACAAACAAAUGUGUCCAAGGAAAGUUCAGUUUUGCAUACCUAUCUCCCUGCUCGCUGUGCUGUGCAAAGUCAAGAUUCCACUGUGUAACUCUCUGCAUUGCAGCAUACCCUCCGGUGGCAAAUGCCCUGAGAAGAUUGAGAGUUGCAGCAGACUGGCAAUAAGCUCUUAUCAAUCUCUGCGGGUCUGGAAUUCUUGAUUUCUCAUUAAAAGCAUCUCCAUUAAUAUUGUCCCCUUUGUAACUUGGCAGCUUCACUCCAUCCUUCUCCUCAAAUGGAUCUGAUCUUGGCUUUGCAAAUUGACCUGCCAUUCUUCCCACCUACAAAUAACCAACCCCACAAUUCUUAAUCUUCCCAACCAGUAGCUUCUAAAUUAAGUUAAUAGCAAUACUAAAAAGCAACAAAACAUCCGACUUCAAUAUUUAUCACAAUUCAGAUUCUGUAAUUGACAUUAAGUCCUCUAAACUAAAUCCUCCUUCAAAACAAUCAAUACCCUUGAUGCAAAAUCAUAAAAGCAAAGCAUACCAUCUAAAAUGUCCCCAAAUAAUAUCAUAAAACCAUCAACUUAUAUUCAUUCAAAUUUAUUAUUGAAAUCAUAUCAGCUAAAAUAAACACAUGAUUGGAGCUAUUAUCAACCAAUAGACCUACUUAAGGAUAAGCACAUUUAAAUCAUCACUAGAAAAUUAAAGUUCAAAAAUUUAGAUAUAGAUCUAACCUUAAUGACAGGAACUUGACCUCCAAACAUAAGCACAACACCCAUCUGAAGCAGAAUCCUAAAAGUAUCCCUUAUAUUAUUAGCACUAAACUCCUUGAAACUCUCAGCACAAUCACCACCUUGCAAUAAAAAAGCAUUCCCCAUUGCAGCCUCAGCAAGGUUCUCCUCUAAACUCCUUGCUUCUCCAGCAAAAACUAUUGGCGGAAACGUCUCAAUAGUCUUCAAAACUGUCUCGAGUUCAUUAGCAUCAGGGUAUUCGGGUAGCUGCAAUGCUUUCUUGGUUUUCCAGCUCUCCAAGGACCAUUUUCCAGUCCCAGGGGCAGCAACUGGGGCCGCAGAUUCCUUCACGGAAACUGAAUUCUUGGUGGGCUCGGCGGCAUGGACGGCAGAGAUUGAAAGGUUGGAUUUUGACUUGAGCGUUUUGCUUCCAGGGACAAGAGAGAAAGUGGGUGAUUGUUGUUGUUGGUUUUGUUGAAAGAGAUUGUUGGCAUUGCUGUAGAGAGAUUUGGAAGAGAGAGUUGAAAGAGCCAUGCUUUUGCUUCAGGUUUAACGCUUUCUUUCUUUCUCUCUAAAUAUUUCUUGAAACGGUUUUUUUAGAGAGAGAGAAAGAGAGCGAGAGGAGAUUUGGAAGAGAAGAGGGGGAUGUAAAGGGAGUUUUAUAGGGGUUUUGUGAGUCGGACAUAAAGAGGUUUGGUAGACUUCAAAAACAGUCAAAAAGUAGUAGCUCCAAAGGUGGGAAGAAGAGGAGGGAAGGGUGUUUUGGGAAAAUGACAGGGAAGGACGUGUUUACCCACGUGUGGGGAAGGGUGUUUUGGUCAAUAAAAGUGAAAUAUAGGAGUUUUAGGUAAGCGAGUUUGAUGUAUUGUCAUAGUUUUAUUUAUUUAAAAACAUAUUAAAAUAAUAUUUAUUUAUUUUUAAUACAAUACAUCAAAAUAAAAAUAAAAAUAUAUUUUUUUAAUAAAAUAUUUUUGAAAUAAAAAAAUAAACAUUUUUUUAUUAAAAAAAAAUAUUAUCUCGUAUAAAUCAUUAGUUAUGAGGUAGAUGAUUGACUGAAUAAAUUUUUUUAAAAGUUAUUAUUCUAAAAAAUUAUUAUUUUAACCUCUUUAUAUCAUUAUUAAAGAGGAUAUGAUACAUUGAAUUAGAAUACAAUAAAUAUUAAUGAAAAAGGUACGUUAGUAAUUUUGAGAAACUCAAGUAGUAAGAUUAACAAAAUUGUUAUUGAAUUAACGUAACCCUGACAAGAUCUAGUGUGUAUCCGUAAUGUGUUUUUUUAUUAAAAAUGUAUUGAAUAAUGUUUUUUAUUUUUAAUAUUAUAAAAUUAAAAAUAUAAAAAAAAUACUUAAAAAUAUUUUGAAAAUCACGAUAAGAAAAUAAAAUAAAAUUGUAGAGCCAAACCGACACUGGCUUGACGGGUUUAGGUAUCAAAGCACUUAACGUGGCUCGAUGAUGUUCUUACACGAGGACUAAAAAGGGAAGUCUAACGUCUGUGGAUUUUAGGUGCACGAAUAUUUCUAUUUUAUUUUUAUUUUUGGUCAGAGGAGGAACAUGGCAUAUAAUACAGCCUUACCUACCCCAGUGGACGGCCUCCUUCUACUUCAUUGGUCAUCACCUACCAUUUUAUACUUUACUUACCAAGCACUGUUAUUGACCAGAUCAAAUUAUUAGGUGAGACGAUCUGCAGCAUCACUGAACCCAUCACCAACAACCCUAUAGCUCCAAACCCCAAUUGGAUUAAUUUAUACUGAGGUCUUGCAGGACGGAUCUGGUGAUUCAAAGUAACAGUACCCUCUGUGUUUUUUCUUCUUUCUUUUCCGGAGUUCAUCCAAUUUAACAGGUCGGGUUAGGGUCUGUAAGCUUGAAAGAGAUCAUAGGUUUAGAAGAUUAGGAAGUGAUCGAUCUUACAGUGGUUGAUUUUUAGAGGUUUUCCGGCCUUGAUAAACAAAUUUGUUUCCCAUAUAAUCUAUGAUUAGUUUGAACAUUUCUGCUUACAAAAGUUGGUUUAAACAAACGUUCUGAGAUGUAUAAUUUAAUAUGAGCUAGCCUCUUCGUUGAAUGCAAUUGCUUCAUUUCAUCGUUUAUGCUGGAUAUAUAUAUAUAUAUAUAUAUAUAUAUAUAUAUAUAUAUGAAUCUAGCUAGGUCUGCCUAUCAGCUACUGCAAUAAAAUCUAGAUUUUCAUGUGAAAUUAAAAGGAUUUAAAGAGUUCUGUUCAUCCCAGCAACGCAACCUGUAAAACAAAUUGAAAGGAUUACGAUGUUAUGCUGAUGGGAUCAAAGUUACGGUUGCUCCAAUAAAAUUAUAAUAUAUUCAUAAAAUUUCCUCAUAUUAUGCUAAUUUGUACAAUAAUUUUUUGUUGAUUGUACUAUUUUCUAAGAAACACAAAACUCUGAAUGAAAGGUCAACCACACAAAGCAUCUUGCCCUCUUCUGGUAUAUUCUCUCCUAUGGGAUAUUCCUUUUGAAAGAUUCUACAGAGUACUAGUUUAUUGGCCAGCGGUUAACCGCGGGUGGUAUUAAUUUUUUUAAAUAUAAAUAUAAAUAUUAAGAAUACGAAGAGUUUUUGAUGGGGUUAUUAAACCUAAUUAAAUUAAAUUGAUAAUUUUAAAAUUUCACAACAUAAUUAUUUGAAAUUUUUAAUUAAAUCACGCAGAAACUAGUCCAAAUUACAUCGAUCGAUUUCAUAGGUUUAGAUGCAAUCUUGAUAAUUGGUAAAAAUAUAGCUUAACUUUUAAAAAAAACUUCAAGAUGACAAUUAAAAAAAAAACAUUGAAACAAUGAUAGAUUAGAUCAAUUAUAGUCUCCAAGUGACCCAUGUUAUGAACUAUAUUGAGUUUAAUAAUUUUUUUAUAAAUUAUUUUUUUAGUUAUAUGAUAAAAAUAUAUUCUUACAAAAUUGAGCACCAACUUAAAAAUAAAUAUUUAUUUAAGACAAUGAUAAUCCUAUAGAAAGCACAAAAAAAUUAAAUCAUGUAGUUUAUUUCCUAACCAGUUUAAUAUUAAAAGAUAAAAUUAAAAAAAAAAAGCAUAUUUGUCUAAUGGGUAAAUUCAUCAAACCUAUGAACUAGGUAACCCGGGCUACCACGCUAAAUCUAUGAACCGAGUCAUGGACUCUAACGAGAUUAUAAUUUUUUUAAAAAACUAUCUUUUAUUUAACUAUAUGACAACUAAAAUAGACGAUUGUCAAAUCAAACACCAACCCAAUAUUAAGAUGCAUGUUGAAAAAAAUAAUAAUAAUAGUUUAUCUUAAUAAACCAUUAUUAUCUCUUGUUAUUAUUAUUAUUAUCACUAUUAUUAUUACCAUUACUAUUAGUAGUAUUAUUAACAUUACUAUUAUAAUUAUUACUAUUAUUAUCAUAAUUAUUGUUAUCAUAAUAAUUAUUAUUUUCAAAGUAAACUAGCCUUGGCUCCUGCGCUUCGCUACGAAGCUGAAUUUUUUUAUUUUUUUUAAUAAAAAAUGAUGUUUGUGUAUUAAAAUAGGGUUAAAAUAACAUAAAAAAAUUAGUCAUAAUAAAUGUGUAACAAUACUAAUUAUAAUUAAGUUAACACAAGAUAACAUGUAGUGUUUAUAAGUUGUCAUCCCAUAUCUCCAAUUAAUCAUGUCCCUAUCGUAUCUAAAACGGAAAACAGAAGGAAUAUUAGGUCAUAAAUCAACUUUUAUAAAAUACAUUAAACUGUAAAUCCACAAGUUCUCCUUCGUUUUAUAAUGUGUUCUACAGUUGCCUAUUUAAAGACAACCUUUUUCUUUCUUUGUUUCCUGGGCAACUUCACAAAAAAGCUAGCUGGAGUUGGAAUUUGAAUUUAGCCUUUUAAUUGCUUUGUGAGAAUAGAGAUGAUGUGCAAGUCAGCAGAUUAUCUUAAGACAAUUUGUCUUAUUCAAUCAAAUUAUUUGGAGACAUGAAUCUUGCAUCAUACCAAUGCAUGCUCUCAGUCUCUCAUAAUUAAUAGUUUUGGGUUAAGCACAUGUGAAAAAAGAGGAGACCAAUGCUCUAAUUAUUGCAAAAAAUGGACCCACAGGAUCCCAAUAUGUGUGGAUGCUCUGUACAUGGAGAAAGAGGGGAGAAGAAGACGAAGAAGAAGAAGACAGAUAACGAAUCGUGUGUGUGAAAUGGUAGCUCUGUUGCAUGGUGCCAAAUACCAUCUCACAUCUAUUUUCUUUCCACUGCAAAUCACCGCACCUUUGGAGGGCAGGUGGGGCGUCUCAUGCAUGUGCGAGGCUGCUAGGCUCUAGCAUGGAUUAGCCCACAUAACAUGGAGAGUCUUGUCCCUGUUCCUCCAAUUAUGUCACUUUCUAGCCCAUUUCCCCAGCCAAAUCUUGCCACCUGCAUGGCUUGGAGAAUCCCUCGUCGUCGUCAUCGUUUUAAAUUAAUAGUAAUUGAUUCUGAGAACUAAUUAAUCACAAGAAGUAGGAGGCUUCAACAUUUUUUGAAGAAAUUAUUGAUCACGAGUUGAUAUGCAGCACGUGAAACCUCUUUGACUGGCUCCAAAAAUAAUGAAGGACCAUCUCUAUGAUUGUUGGGUUCUGUAAUUCUUCUUUAGAUUGAUUUGACUAGGUAACAACUUUUACAAGGAGAUGCUCUCUUGGGGGUGUAUCAUUCAUCAAUAAGGAGAACAAGUGUGCAAAACAAAACCUGCCAAGCUGUUUUGAGGAGUUUUUCUUUUGAAAGAUACAACACAGCUACUAUAAAUUGCUGGAAAAUGACUCAACUUUCCAGUAUUUGAGCGCAUUAACACUUUAUCUUGUUUUUUAAACUAUUUAUAUAAUUUAUAACACUUUAUAUAUCAAGUCAAAAUGUAUAUAAACUUAGUAAAUGCAAAAAUAUCAAUAUUAUAAAUUUACAACUUCUUCACGAGACAUUUUAUCAAAGUGCAUCAACUUCUCUCUAGGCCUUUCUUCUAUCCCUGGCCACUCAGCUUCUACAAGCAGUGGCUUACUGAGAUCAACAGGCCCUUCCUAAAUCUCUACCUCUUCAUCAACAAUCUCAUACUGCUGCAAUGGAGGCUACAUCAUGUGGUAAACAAGAGUGUAAACAAGAAUAACAUAAACCCAUUGAGAAAAGCAUACAUAAGCAAUACCAUUCCCGUAAAAAUCGGGACCAAAAGGAGCGUCGGAACUGUGACACACUGAUGCAACCACUGCAAGUGGAAUAUUGCCAGUGUUGCCAAAUGCAGUCGUUGUGAUUGUGAACCGAACAAACUCCCCUGGUGGUCGGCAUAUAAUCACCGCCAAGCAUCCCAAUAUGCAACCACUUGUAGCACUAAUGAUUACAUUUACAGGAAUGAACCACCACUGAACAAUGUUCUUGAGAGUUGAGAGUAAAGGAUGGACCAAGCUGAGUGAAAAUUAAGCAAGGCAAAAACAAGCUUGCUAAGAAGCUUGAAAGUAGUUUUAGGGACAAAUUAAACUUUUGCGUGAGCAAGGAUUAAACCAAAGAGAGUGAGGACUAUAAGUUUCAAUAGAGGUACAAUUGCAGCUUUCACACCCUGCCAAUACUUUCAAGGUCCUGAAUAGCAGAAUGGUAAUUUGAUAUUCCAACAUCGCCAUCCUUUUUUAUGCGAGUACUCUGCGCUAUGGGAAAAAUCGAAGAAUAAGAAAAUAGCAUUGCUGCUGCCUGAUUCUUGAAAAAACGAGAUUACAUCUUGUGGCAUGAGUUCAAACUUCAAAAGAUAAGAAUACUCAUGAAAUUCUUAUAAACAAAUAAGAAAAUUGAAUACAAAAUACAACUUAGAAAUUACACAGGUAUGAGCACCAAGAAAGAACAGUUUGCGUCUAACUUGUAUAAAGAUUUAUUAGUCCUUUUUUCAUUUUCCUUCACACUGCCGAGGUAGCAGAUCCAGAUCAAGAAACCAGGGAUCUUGUCCUAGGUGGCCAACAGUCUAGUUAUCGUGACAUUUGGAGGAGAGUACAGAACCUUGUGCAGUGAGAAAAACAGAAAAAUCUGGUGGUGAGUAUUUACUACUAUUUUUUAUGGUCUGUUAUUGUUGCUUCUCUUGCUUGUAACUGAAGGUUGAGUUUCAUGGGAUUCCAAUUGGUUCACCCCCUCAGUUAAAUCAGAUGUUUUAAUCAAUUCUUGUUCUUGGACACGUUCCCGCCUGUUAUCCCAUGACUUCCCACUCUUUCCAAUAGCAAGAAUUAGCUCCAGUUGCUUUUGUUGCUGCUCCUGCAAAGAUGACAACAAAUUAAAGUCGAAUUUGUAGCAUUUGAAAACCAUAUCACUCCAUUCACCAGAAGAGAUAUAUUAUGUUCUCCCAGCACAGAAUCACUAUGUCAGUUUUUAUCAGCGCAAAUAGUUAUUCUCCAACACGUAGUGUAAGAAGUUCUUUAUUAAAUUCAAGCCAGUAGUGUUAGAAAACAUCAUAUUAUCUUUUCAUUUACUUUUUGGGCAACUAUGCACAGCCUAUUUCUUCGAUUAUGUUCAAAUGACACCUGAAUUGGUUUCAGACACAUUUCAUAGAACACCACAGAACCAAUUUUGCAAUCCAUACCAGUCACUUGAUACAUAAUAUAUAAUUACAGGGAUGUGCCUAUUUAAAAGAAACUUUGAAACAGAAACAGAUCACAACAAGCAACAUGGCAUAAUUGUCUAUAGAUACAACUUUAUGAUGUUUUUUUUAUUUGUCUGUUGGUGUCCCUAUUCAUUCGAAAAGCUUCGUGAUUGCUGGUAUCGCUCAUAUUUAUAUAAACUCUUUGGCAUAAUCAAUCUAUGUGGCUGAAGAUACCUGCAUUGCCAACAAAAUCUUCUGCGUUUCACCAAGCUCCUUUUCCAGAAUAUUUUCUUGCAAUGCUAAUGCUCGAGUGGCCUCAGAAUUCUUUUGAGCCAAAGCUGCAGUCUUCGAUGCAGAUUGAAAGAAGUUAAUAGGAGAGAAAUUAACACGAGGUACUUAUGAAAAACUUCCAAACUUCUCCAAUUAUCAGCAGAUAUUAAUUACUAAGCAAUCUAUUCAAGGUCAGAGGUAUUAAACCUGCUGCAUAACUAUAAAACAGUACCUUCUUAAUUGAAGCUCCAAACUAUAUAGCAUGUUUUUACGGAACCAAAUGCCAAAUCAAAAUAGGUUUCAAGAUUCUAAGGAUGCCAAAGAAAAGAAAACACAAUAAUUUCUUCCGCAAUGGGGACAGUUUAAUUCAGCAUAUAGCAAAAGCACCAUAAAUUAUGCUGCCCAUUCAGCACUGUAAACUACGGUCAUUUAUUAUCAUCCAUUCUUUUGAUGUCAGCACUCAGCACACAUACCAGAAUUCUAAGUAGUGGAAUCAAUAAGACUUUUGCAAAACUCUUUCAAACAACAAAACAUUGCAAGCAGCAAAAGCCACCAACCAUUUCAGACAAUCAUCAGGAAACCCAUGCACAAAAUCCAUGCAUGAGGACUCACAACCAGAAAAUUUAGACUCCCUAUCUGUAAACAACUUCUGUGAUUCCUUUGCCACUGAAAGUGCAUAAAUCUAUCAUGUUGCAGUUUUAGCUGUUAUUCUUAAAAUCCAAAAUAACCCUACAAAAUUCCAAAAUCUUGAAGCAGCAGUUAGCAUCUUUAUCAGGAUUGCUUGAAGCUUGUUAUCAAAGCAUUGCUCCAAGCUCAUCCAGCCUAAGAACGCUCAAGUUAAGCCAGAACCUAUGAGUCAAAUUGUCUAGUUAUUAUAGCGCCUCUCCUAGUUUUAUCAUGAAGUCUCCCGGCACUCUACAAAUUUUCUCCUUAACUUCAGUUACACCGCAUACAAUUGUUUGAGGUACAAAGCAGGAAACAAACGAUCUUAUAAAACACCAUAAACAAUGACUGGUGAUUAAGUUAGUAAAACUUUAAUUUAACUAUAAAGUUCAAAAAAUUCAAUCCCCGGAGAUGCCAAAAUGGGCGGCAGAUAGCAAGAAAUAAAAGCAUAUAACAGCAAAGUUCAAUAUCAAGACAAAGAUACUUGGUUAAGAAAGCAAGUAACCCUAACAACCAACCAAAAAGUAAGAUGUUCAGCUCAACAAUGGGUACCUCAACAAUGGGCUCUUUCAAAGCUUUCCUAGUAACCCGAAACCGAAUCCCCAACUUCUCAAGCUGCCUAGACAAAACCCUAAUAAUGGUCGCAGAACUCCUCAUAUCCUGUUCCAGUUUCUCAAUCCUCCCCACCAAAUUCAAACUCCCUUCCCUACCUGUCUCCCUACAAAUCCGCCACCACUGCCGCCUCCUUAUCCACGCACCAAUUACAACUCCACUCACCAUCACCACCAUUCCCCACGCAAAUCCCGUGUUGCUGCCUAUGACCCCCAACGCUCCCGUUUUCGAAAAGGUACAGUUCAAUGCGUAACUGAUUGUGAUAAUUGACGAUGAAAUGAUGCAGAGUAGUUCGGCAAUCGAGAGAAAUUGAUCGAGAUUGAAUUGAUUGGAAACUUGGGUUCGGAUAGUGGGGUCUGAUUGGUAUGCUUUGAGGGUGAAACUGAAAGAAUUUCUGGGAGUUUGGGGUUUGAAGUGGAAAUUACUGGAAUGUAAGGAUGUAGUGACGUGGCGAGAAAGACUGAGGUUUCUGAGUGAGAGGCUGCUGCUGCUGAAGAGAAGGGUGAUGCGAGGCGGCGAGUUAGUGAAGAGGUGGUGGUGAUAGGUGGCGAGAGACAUUGUUGUGUCGUCUUUUGUAUUUCUGGUUCUGGUUAUAUUGGGGUUUUGUUCAGGUUGAAGAGACUCAAGAGAGAGGAUUGUAACGGCCUGGCGAAGAGUUCAACGACUGGCGCGCUACAGGCUAAUGCAGCAUUUUUAGCAAGGGUAACAAUUUCGUCCUCCUUCAUAUCACAUCAGCCCGAACCGAUCUGCACAGGUAGAAAAUCUUGGGGAUACGUUCAGGUUUGGGUAUAUUUGAAGGGACAAAAUCGAUUUUUGGACUGGAUAUGAAUAUUAUUAUAUUUAAUUUGGAAAGUGAUUCAAUUUAAAAUUUAAAAUAUGCUUAAAAUAUAUAAACACAGUUGGGACACACUAUGUCAAGGAUUGGGAUAGUCAUUAUAAUUUAAAAUUUUUUUAUUUUUUAAAAAUUAUUUUUAAAAUCAGCGCAUCAAAACGAUCUAAAAAUAUAUAUAAAAAAUAAUUUUAAACAAAAAAAAUAAAUUUAAAAAAAUACAAUUUACACCGUGUUCUCAAACACGACCUAAGUGAAUAGAAUUUUUAGUAAAAUUAUAAAUAAUAUUUUUUAAAUUAUUUUAAAAAUAUAUAUUUUUUAUUUAUAUUGACAAAGGGUUUUUAAACAAUUUUUAUUCUGUAUUUAUAGUCUAUUGUUAAAAAAAAUUCAUUUAUAAAGUAUAAUUAACAUUUUAUUUAUUCUUGACAUCUUUUUAUGAAUUAGGUGUCUUAUAUGAUUGCGCAAAUUGUUCAUAUAUUCUUGCCGCUAUGUAUAUACAUAGUUUGAAUUUUGGUUUACUGUUCCUCCGACAUUAGGGUUAGAACUCAAGAGCAAAGUUGCAAAUUCAUGGGAAUUAGAAGAGAGCGAAAAAUGAAAGUUUCUUGAGGAAAGUAACUGCAUGUUUAGUUUUUUUUUUUAAUUGAAAACAUGAUGAUUUUUUUUAGAUAUUCUUUCAAGUAAACACAUUAAAAUUAUUAAAAAAUAAAAAAAUAUUAAUUUAUUGUUUUUUUAUUUGAAAAAUAAUUUAAAAACAGCUCAGACCAUUAAAACAAACAUUGUUAAAUAAUUAAUUAAUUUACCUACUUCCUUCUUUUUUCUACUUCAAUUUCAAUAUGUCAUUUUAAGAAUCAUUAUACAUUUUAAAUUUUCUGCUUGUUUUUUCAUUUUCUAGACAACCUCUCAAACCAUAAAAGAAACUGUAAUAACCUAAAAUAUUAAAUUUUAAUUUUAAAAGUUUAAAGAAAUUUGAGAUCCAUAAAAAAAACUUAGAUUACACAAACAUUAAAAACCUUAAAAAAUAGAGAGAAAAAAUUAAACUUUGAACAUGCCAAAAAAUUGAAAUAACCCAAUAUAUAUAUAAAUAUAAAAGUAUGAAAUUAAUGAAAGAAAUUCAAUGUCUUGCAAAACUCAUGUUAUUGACAGACAUAUUUGUUUAAGGACAGUUCAAUUUUUUUCUUUGAAAUAGUGAAAACUGAAAACUGCAGUGUGAUCCGUAAUGUGACUUCAAACGGUGUCGUGCAGUUUUUUCUAUAUAUCCCGGUAAGCUGAAUUUCCACUUGAACAUUCGCAGUCCCUUUCCAUUUUCCCCAAAUUGCAAAAUAUCUCUGGAGCGAGGAAGUGAGUGAAGCAUGGAAGAGCUGAAGAAACUAGAAGAAGCUCAGAGAAUGAUAACACUGAUGGAAUCGCAUGCCUUACUUUCUUCUCCUUCUUCUAAUAACCACCACUCUAAUCGCUUCCUCGCCAAUCUCUUACUCCUCCUGAUACAACAGUGCGGCGAUCUAGAUUUCAAGGACAAACUCACUCUCAUCAACCAACACCUUCCAAAAGUGAUUACUCUCUUACUCGAUUUCAAUUGCCACAUCAACGUAAACAUUUUAUAUGAUACUGUUUUUUUUUAUCGUUUUUUUUGUGUGCAAGAUUUCGGGUUCUUUUCUCGAAGAAGCGUCGCUCUUGUUUAAUCGGGAAGAAGCGGUGCUGCAAACGGAAAGCAAGCUUAUUGCUAAUAGUAAUAGUGAUUUGGAAGAUAUGGCAUUGGUUGGCUUGGAUGCCAUGCAACGCGCAAAUUCUACUCUUGAGGAUUUUGUAAGCAGAGUUAUUUGUUUUUUUUAAUUAUUGUUAUUAUUAGUUAUUUGUAAACUUAUGCAUUGACUGGCGGUUUUAUUUAUUUAUUUUAUUUUUGGGAAUUAAUAGUGCAGAUCGUACUUUAUGUUUCAUGAAAUGGACAUAAAUAAGCCGCAAUCGAUAUUCAAAUAUUUACCUCUGCUUUCAUUUACUGAAAGUUACAUUUAUCAGGUUAGGAAUUGGAAUUGCAGCUGUGGAUUUUUUUUGUAUCGUGCGGCUAGGGGUUUUUUUCCUCGAAUUUUUUUCCUUAAUAACUGUAUUUUUUUUUAUGUAGAUGGAUAGUUUAAAUGAAAAGAUAGUCAAUAUGCAAACCAAUAUAGUUGGAGCUGUAGAAAGAAAACCUCACAUGGUAAGAACUGUGAGCUUUGGAAGAGAUAUGAUGAAAAUGUUGUGAUUGUUUUAUUGUUGAUUUUCAUUUGCUUCAAUGCCUUUCAAUUUGACAUUCAGGAAGUGAGUGAAAGCUGGAUUGGUAAGUUUAUUGAUAUGUUAAAAAAAGAUCCAUUUGGUCCCCUUGUGGGUCAGCUUCAACAUCAUGGCCUUUUGACAGAGAGGUAUUGUUUCAUAUUAUUUUUAUUAUCAUUGUCUUUGGCGUUGGGGUAAUGAGGUGAAGCUUGAAAUCUGAAUAUAAGCUAUAUUGUUUGUUUUUGCGUAUUCGGUUAAGGAUCAAUGAAGAACUCAGGUUUGGAGAAGAGUAUUGGGAUUUGGAAAGAAAGCUAUGCUCUGCACUCGUGAACCAAACUGAGGUACACACAUUCAUCUGGUUCAUUUUUUCUUAAAUUAAUUCUAUUCUUGCUGGCUUGUUUUUCAUCUACGGGUGUCAUUUCCUAAAAUAUCCUCACUGUAGCACUGUAAGUAGUCAGAGAAACAUGAAUUAUCAGUCUGACCUCAGCUGGUCCACCUUGAAAAAAAUUUCAUAGGAUGGAUCUAUGAGCAUUUAGAUGUUUAAAUACUGUACUGCAGAAUUUUUCUUUUUUAAACAUCAAAUUAUGUUUUAGCACCUCAUAGAUAGAGAAGAAAUCAAGUCGAUCAGUGCAUAAACAUCAGUAAUAUUAACGUUUGAUGAAUGACUCCAGGGCCAAUUGUGGAUUCAUAAGUAGGAUCCAUGUUAAAUUUGAGCAUGGCUGAUUUAUUAGUUUUAUAUCAGAUAUUGUAUAUCACUGGAUCCCACUGCUCACAAUCAAGGUUCUUUUGACACAUUCUCAAGUUCCAUGCCUUUUGAAUUAAAUAGGAGGAAACUAGUACAAAAGGGUCACUAGUUCACUUGAAAUAGCUUACUAAGAUUCUUCCAGAGAGUUUGAGGGGUUUAAUUUAUUAGCAGUGAAUCAUAGGCUGACUCAAGGUUCAUUUGUUUAUGUCUGAUCAUAACCUUGCUUUUCAGAUUUUAGUUGAAGAUGUAAUGAGGGCAAUUCAUUUGAAAUCCUUUGACUAUCGAGUUCUGAAUCUUCUACUGUACCAGUUAAGAGGGGAAAAGGUACAUAUCUGUUGGUGAUUUCACUCAUUUUAUUCUUCUUCUUUUUUUACAUGUCAAAUAAUUUCCUUCUCUUCUUUUUAAAAUACAUCUUCAAAGAGUUUAACCUUUUUUCUUCAGGCAUUGUCAAGAUCAUAAAACAAAUUUCUUGUCACAUUUUCAUUUAGAGAAUUCUGUCAAACUCUGAUUAAUUUGGCCCAGUCCUUUCUUUUCCACCUCUCAAUCCUGCUAGUUACUGAGUAAUAUGUAGCCUGUUGUUUGGUUAGAUGUAUGUAAUUAGGCUAAAUGUAUUUUCUUGAAGUUUUGCUGAAGGUAAAUGAUGUGCAUAUGGAAUUCUUAUCCAUCUCAGAAUUUCUAGUGGAAGUGUCUGAUGAUCUGUAAGUGCUUAUUUUCUUUCUUUUAUCAAUUUAUCCUUAUUCUGUAUAAAGUAUGCCAACUCAUUCACUAUUUGAAAACGACAAUUGUAGCAAAAUAAUCAGAUACAAAAUUGUAUGGCGUGGAAUUGACACAAAAUCAUAUUUUAUGCUAUAGAAAUGUUUCAGCUUAGCUUUUGGAUGCAUGUGCAUGGCUAAGUGUAAAUGUGUAUUUGCCAUCCCUCUCAUGGGCUUGCCUGAGUGGUGCAGAGUGAUCACUGUUUCUUGCUUUUGUGCUAUCUUUCAUUUAUUAUGUUAUUACAGAGAUAAUGGUUUUUUUUGGUUGUUGCUAUAAUUUAUGUGCCAAGCAUGAUCAGUUACCCAAAAUGAAGAUUUCAUAUGGCAAUGUUGCAGGUUUGACUAUGAGGUAAGUUCAUAUCCCAUGGUAGGAAUUUUUAUUGCGGUUCCUUUUGAUUUGCCCAACUCUAAUUUUAAAAGCAUGCGUUUUUUAUGUAGGAUGAUGUGCUAGAGAAUAAUUUCAAUAUCUUGCGCAUGUUUGUCAGAAUAUAUGGACCGGCAAUGGCCCCAGCCAUGCUGGUGAGUGAUCUGAGCAUUUUAUUUGUUAAAUUUAAUAGAAAGGUAUUGCCUGCAUAAAUUUUCUCUUUGAUUGAGAAAGCUUGUACUCUUUUGGAGUGGUAGCUUGAGAGUUUUGUAGUGGUGAGGGGUAGGAGUGUGAAUGUUGUCUGUAUGAGUUUCAGCUAAGGUAACUGAAUAGAUUUAAAAAUUUAAGCGGUUGUCCUUAUUACUUCAGUGACAUAAUUUUCUUGGUGUUCUCAUCAGCACACAAACUUGAUAUGAUCAUGCCAGUUGAUACCAAAGUACCAUUUUUUUUUAUUUGUGGCAAUAAUGAUGAUAUUAGAAGCAUGGACUGGUGAAACAGACGAUUUAUAUUACUUUAAUCUUUGGAAAGCCCUUGAUGUCAAUUCAUUCAUCUGUUGAAUUUGAUUAAAAUAUCAAUCUAUAAAUACUCUAUUACCUGGUAAUUUUUAAGGGGAAAAUGUUUUUUAUUGAUCCUUUACAGGCUAAAUACAUUGCUGAAGCGGAAGAGAAGUAUGGCAGUUUAUUGAAAACUCUGGACCCUCAACUGUCCACAAAUUACCAGAGGAGAUGUGAAGAUGCUACCAAAGAAGGUACUUUGUGUGCUUUGAAGUGAAAACUCCUAUGAAGUUAUGACUCUUUUUUCUGCUGAUGUGAUUUGUUCUCCAUUCAAUUAGGUGGGAAGAUGUCUGGGUAUCCUCUUGGAAGUUGGAACAUACCGCCUGCGAUUGUAGAUGAAGAAUUAUAUCGAUCAAACUGGUUAAAUUCUGAAUCAGUGGUACCUCUUGGUUGACUUCGUGGGUUUAAAUGCAAAACACGUAACAUGCUGUCGCUGCCUAACCUACACCGCAAUAGCAUUAGAAGCCUUUGGUCCCAAGAUGUUUUUACAUGACGUGCUUCAUUUGAAUUUAGUGCUUGUGUAUGCCUUCAUUAAGACAAUGCAAUUUCUCUAGUCUUCACUAAUUGUGUGUACCGAACUUUAUAUAUAUAUACACACACAUCAAAAAACUUUGGUUGAGUUUUUGUAUUUUGAUUCAAACCCUCAGAUAGCCAAGAAUUAGAAUUUACAGGUGUUUGUUUGGCGUGCGUGAAGGUGCCCAGGGGCUGUAUGGCUGUGGAGCUAUUGCUGGCAGCAGAUGAGGCACAACCGGGCCUAGCUUUAGCUGCCAUGAGUUUUUACUUGAAGUCAUAGUUAUUAAAUCCGGUCUGGUCUGGUAGAUUGAUCCAGGAUCUUGGUUAAAUUAGGCAAAACUGAGAUCACUUAUUUUUUGACCAAAACAAGUGAGAAUAAUGUGUAAAUCAACGAGUUGAAAGUUUGAAAGUUUGGUUUUGAACCGGAGAGGCUCAGGUUGAUAAGUCAAUUCAAGUUUUUUUUUUCAAAUUAUAUUAGUUUUAAUAUAUUUUUAAAUAAAAAAUAUUUUAAAAAAUAAUAACCUGCUACAGCGACCGAGCUGGGAGUAGGGCCUUGGUUUGGGUGCACUUACGAUCUAUAUGAGAAGAGACUUGGUUCAGGUGCUGGGCAGGGACAUUCUAAAAAAAACGAAUUGAAAACCUAAAAAAACAUAUUAAUUUAGUUUUUCAAUGCGCAUCACAACAUGUAGGAGCUCGUGUUUCUUGAUUUUAUUCAGAAAAAUUGAAAUUUUUUAGAACUCAACAUUUCAACAACUAUUUUCAUAUCAAUAUAUCUUCUAACCAUAUAGUAGUUAGUGUUCUUUUAAAAUUCAUAGUAAAUAUCCAACCGGCUGUGCUCACACUAAACUCUUUGAAUAUAAAAAUACCAUGAGUGUAUUUGUUUUUAUGUUUAAAACGUAUUUUAAAAAAAUUAAAUUAAUUUUUUUAUAAUUUUUAAUUAUUUUGAUGAGUUGAUGUUAAAAAUAUAUUUUUUAAAAAAAUAUAUUUUUAAUAUUUUUAAAUAAAGAAAUAUUUUAAAAAGCAAUGUCGUUAGCUUCUAAAUAAGUGAGAAUGAUGUGUAAAGACGAUGAAAAGAUUAAUGGCCAAAACACUGCUAUUGCUGAUGAUGGUUACUAGUUACUACUGAUGAGGGUCCCCCUUUUUGCCACCAUAAUGCUAUAAUUUUCAUCUUACAUGUUCCUUUUUUGUUUGAAAGUGCAGUACCUUUUAUUUAUAUAUAUUUUUAAAAUAUAUAUAUGUUUUAAAAAAUAUUAAAUUAAUGUUUUUUUAGUAUUUUUUUGAUAAUUUUAAUUUAUAUAUAAAAUUAAAAAAUAUAUUUUUUAAUAUAUUUUUAUGUAAAAAAUACUUUUAAAAUUAAUCAAGUAACAUAAUACUAAUUAAUUAUUUUAAAAUUCACUCACCACUAGCGGCUCGACACUUGCUGCUAUGAAUCUGUGAAAUCAGAGCAACAAAUCAGGAAAAACAUGGAAAAAAGUGAAAGCAGACACAGAAUACCCGUCUAAUUAAUUAAAGUGUACCUUCACGAAUUCUUUUUCUGCGUUCUUCGUGAUGCAGCUGGUAUGAUUCACUCACUCUCUUUUAUUUUAUUUUAUUUUAUAGUUUUCAUUUAUUGGCAAGAGAAUUUUAGCAAAGGGCCCAUCACUUCUGACGUGGAUUCUCCAGAUUUAUUUUUUUAAAUAGCAUGUAUUAAAAAAAUAUUUGAUAAACUAUCAUAAAUAAAUAAAAUAUUUAAGAGAAUAUCUCGGCUAAAAGUUGCCCUGUUGAGAAUAUCGCAACUCAAUUUUAUUUUAUUUUUAAAAUAAAGGUUAUGUUGUCCAAACACUGUAAUCUAUUUAUUACGCUGUUACUAAUAAUGUAAACUUCGCAUUUAAAACGUACUAUAGUCUUUGGUUUGAGGUUUGGGUCUGAGGUUUGUUACGUAAUUUGCAUCAUCUAGUUCAUAAAUUUAAACAUAUCCUCAGUAAAUUUAAAUAUAUAUUUUCCAGUCAAGGGGCUGUAGUACUGUUGGAAAAGCACAUUAAUCCAUUAAAUUGCACUGUGCUGCAUGUGAUAGCUAUAAAUCUUUCCUUUCACUGUUUGCCACACCCUCAUCGUUGUCACCUAGUAGGUCUUGCUUUGGCAUCUGCAAUCCAAUCAUAUUUUUAUUUUUAAAUUAAUCUUUUGAUACUUUUUAUUGUUUUAAUAUAUUCAUGCUAAAAAUAAAUUUUAAAAAAUUAAAAAUAUAUAAUACACUGAAGUUCAGUCCGUACUCUCCCUUUCUCUCAGUCACCACCCACCACUCAACUUCUCCUUUUAAUUGACGCACUCUUGUCCUCUUGCUUCUCUUCUCUCUAUAUACAGGUCCAUGAACGAAAAUUAACCAGAUUCUGUCCCUUCCUUUGUUUGUUUCUUGAGUUGCUUACUGUGAUAGGGAGAGUUACAAGAAGCAAACCGCAAAGUGCCAACCUGGGCUUCAAACUACUCUGACCCCUUUCGUUUAACUUCUUUGCUGGGGAUAUAUAUAGCUAGUUGCUAUGGCUUCUUCUUGGUCACGAUGCAUGAAAGGCUUUGUUUGAUGACCAUAUACAAUGGGUUCUUGUCGCCUGUUACCUGCCUCUAGAUCACUAGUGCUAACUACUGCAAUUUCCAUAUAUUUUCUGCUCUAUCCGGUCUCUUGUUUUGAUCAACACUUACAACCUCCAACUUCUCCUCGCAAGGUAAGCCUCAACUCAACUCACCUCCCUACCUCCUCCUGGUUUUUGUUUUGAUGCUACAAGUUAUGAUCUUUUGAGUAGGGUAUAGCUUUUGAGGAGAAGGCAAGGCUAGGUUCGACCCCACCAAGUUGCCACAACAAAUGCAAUGGUUGCCACCCAUGCAUAGCAGUUCAAGUACCAGCUCUACCGAGUCAAAACGAACCAGUUCAAAUGGGUUCAGCUAAAACUAGCAGUAUUGACGAGUUCUUCGACUCGUAUCCUGCAGGUAAUAGGUUCCCAGAUUAUAGGCCACUUGGUUGGAAAUGUCGCUGUGCUGACCAUUUCUACAAUCCCUUAACUUAAUAUGUAUUCUCAGUAAUUAAUAAGAGUUGAAUCAAAAUGGUGAUCAUUAUCAUCGUAAUUAUUCUUCCUAAUCUGUUUUGAAAUUGUGAUUAAAAGUAGGUUCCUCAGAUUCUCUAGACAUGUGAAGGUGUCAGCAUUGACUGUAGACUUACAUUGAAACUUCGGCACAGUAAUGUUGGUUUUUCAAAGUUUUUUUAUAUUAAAAUAAUAUUUUUUUAUUUUUUAAAAAUUAUUCUUGAUAUUAAUAUAACUGAAAUCCAAAAACAUAAAAAAAAAUUAAAUUAAAUACAUGUUAAGCUUUUCAUAUGUUUUCUUCUGUUUUGCAAGCUUCCGAUCUCGGUUACUGAGGUCCAUCCGAAGUCCGAACUCGAACAUCGAUUUAUGUUUUAGCUUUUAAGAGGUUGGAUUCUGAGGACGAGUUAUAGGGUCUCGUUUUGACUUGACUGGUUCACUUUCGAGUGGGGAAUGAACAGUUCCGCAGCUUUUUUUUCUUGAGCAUUUUCUCGCUAAACUGUUUGCUACUCAUGACUGCCUAUUGCCUGCUACCUUUUCUUUUUCUGGGUUAAUUCUAGCUACUAGUUACCGACUCCAUGAUUCAUAGAGAAAAGCACAGAUUAAUUUAAGGAAAUUGGAGUUUACACUCUGCGAGCAAGAGACAGGAGGGGUCUCUCUUAAUGUUUUAGCACUGUUUCGUGUAUUAUGGAUGGAGGAGCUUUUAGGAGUAAAAGAGAAAGAAAGGACAGCGGUUAACACUCUUAACACAGGCAAUGAAGACACCCAGAAUAAAUGAUAUUAGGUAGGGCUCUUUUGAGGUAUGGAAUUGUCGGUUCGGUUGAAAGAGAAGAGAGAGAGAGAGGACCGGGAAGCAUGGUUACAGCAUAGGGAGUACAAAUAUCAGCCCCUGCUCCCGUUGCAGAUCUAACAGUAUUUUUGAGUUAAACCUCUUUUUAUUGAAUUUGUUUAGGUUUGUCAUACGUUCACAACUUUAUGAAAAAGGUUUUAUAUAUAUAUAUAUAUAUAUAUAUUCUAUAUAUAUAUUCUAUUCAUGAAUAAUGAAUAAUAAAUAAGAAAUACAACGUGAAACUUGUGUAUAAUAAACUUAUUUUCCAAACUACUAGAAAAUAAUUCUCACUCGUACAUGUGUACGUGCAUAAUGUAUAGGUAAUGUCUACGCGCACAACUUGUUAAAACUUGUUAAAAUUUAUAAGUGCACAUGUAACACAUGCACAACUAAUAAAUUCUCGCAUUUUUUGUUGAGAUAAUUAGCCCAUGUAAAAGUCAACAUAUAUUUUUAUAAAAAUCCAAUGACUUGAAGAAAAUAAAUCUAAUAGCUAGGAAAAAAAAAUAACAUGGGAAAAAAAUACUGUGUCAGAAAUACAUCGAAACUUUGGUAAUAAAACUCUUAUUAUCACAGGAAAAAUAUUAAUAAAACAAAUAUCGAAACUUUGGUGAUAAAACUUUUAUUAUUAUUGAAAAGAUAUCGAUAAAAUAAAUUAAUAGAUAUUAUAGGAAUCCAAUUUUAAAGUUAUUAAUGAGUUAUACAACAGUUUAAAGAUAGCAAAAUGCUCACAGCAUCUCAUCACCUGCUUCAAUGUUAAUUUUUUCAUUGUAUCUUCCAAUCUGUCUCGUCAAAAUUUCAUUCAAAUUAAUCACUUUAACUAACAGUUUUUACAUAUAUUAUAAAUAAAAAAACAAAAAAACAGUCUUAAUUAGCAGUUUCUUGAACUUGGAAAGACAAAGCUCUCUAUGUCUGCUGAAGUCAGCUAUUCAUUUCUAGAUAUUUUGUGUCUGGUUUGAUAGAACCAGGAUCCUAUACACGUGACCCAUUACUAGAAAAGGAAGUGCAAUAACUAAAUGGUGGUAUAUAAUUAUCUUGCGGCCAUAGACCUCAAAUUAAGUCUAAUCCUCCACGAAAAGUAAGAAACUCUGAAUAUUUUGCUACAGCCCAAGAUUAAUAGUUCAGGGGAAAAAAAGACUUAAAAAUCUAAAUUUGUUUUUUUAAGGAAACCAAACAUUGAAAAGAUGAUGAAAUACUUUGGAUAAAUAAAAAGAAUGAAGGAAACCACUAACAUAAACCUGAAACUGAACCCUUUUUUCAAGCAUUGAAGUGGCUCACCUAGCAUAAAACGAUAUCGUAUCAUUAUUAUUUGAUGAUAUAAUUGAUUUCUCUACAUUUUUAUCAAUCAGUAAACGAAGACGAAUCGUAUUCAGAACCAAAAAACUUACCCUCGUUCACUGCAGACGAAAGCCACCACCGUCGACGUCGCAGAGCCUAGAAUUUAUCCUCGUUCACCUUACCCCUCUCCUCCUCUAGAAGAAAGCCCCAAAUUCAAACCCUCACUUACCUCAGGUGGUAAAAGAAGCAAAAAAAAAAACUUAUUGAAGAAGAAAGAGGUGCAGAUUUAGCUUGCUAGCAAAUUUAGAGAAGAAAUAAUGAAUUAGCCAGCAAAUUUAGUUUUUUUGAAAUGUAAUGUAUGACUAACUUCUUUUCUCUUUUAAUUAAUUGGCAAGCUGAGUGAAAGAGAGAGUUAAUCUGUUCAUUUUAUUUUUUUGUUCAUCAAAGAAAGAGAGUCUCAAUUAGAAAGGAAAAAAUUAAUGGGGGAUGAGAAUAAAUAUGAAAGUAAUUAUUUGCAUUGCAGUCUGGGUGUUUUUUAAAUUUUUAUAGUUUUAAAUUAAUUUUUUUAUAUUAUUUUAAUAUUCUGAUAUUAAAAAUAAUUUUUUUAAAAAUAAUUUUUUAUUAUAUUUUUAUUUAAAAACCACCUUAAAAUAUAAUCGGAACCAGUUAGUAAACAGUGAACGAAAAAAAAAAUGCUUGAGGUGUGCUAUUAAAGCUAAUUAUACCACACAUGUGUAAUGCUAAAGUCACGUGGAGGAAAUCUAAAACAACACAACCUUGCAAGUUGCAACACGUUUAAAAAGAAAAAGGACCAUGAGCUGAGGUGUAAAAAAGGAGAGAAAAGAAGAAGAACAUAAGACGUUACGUGGAAGAAGCUUAAAACAACACAACCACCUUGUGACGUGUAAAACGAACAAGAACGUAAGACGUGUUAACAAAAUAAAAUAAAAUAAAAGACUAAGAGUUUAAGAAAAUCACACAAACACCAUUGCUACAAUAAAUGCAACAUUUAUAAAAUAAAAUAAAAACCCUUCGUGUCAAUGAAAGAAGAGAUCGGUAGAGUGUUUGAGAGUGUGAUAGUGAUUAAUUUUUUUAAAAAAAAUUAUUUAAAAAUAUAUCAAAAUAAUAUAUUAUUUUAAAAAAUAAUUUUUGAUAUUAACACAUCAAAAUGAUCUAAAGAUAUUUAAAAAAUUAAUUUAAAAUAAAAAAAAUAAAAUAUUUUUAUUUAAAAAAAAAACAUUUUUGAAAUGCAAAAAAAAAAAAGGUCCAAAGAGUUUGAAAAAUUACACAAACACCAUUUUGUUCUAGUUUAUUUUUUAAUUAAUUUAAUUUUAGUUCAAAUUUAAUGACAACUAAUGUUAAUAAUCUUAUGAAAUCUAACUAACUAACAAGGGUAUUUGUAACAAUGAUAUUAAUAGUUUUUUUAAGUAAUUUUUACUUGAAAAUAUAUUAAAAUAAUUUUUUUAUUUUUAAAAAUUUAUUUUUAAUAUCAGUACAUCAAAAAAAAAUUUUAAAAAUUUAAAAUUAUAUUUUUUAAAAAAAUUUAAAAUUUCAUAUAACUCUAAUUCAACGUUGCUCCAACUGUCACAAGGCAACAAUUUCUAAUUUUCUAUACAAAACAUUAUUUUCUGUUGUUGUUGGGCCAAAUUGGUUGCGGGCUUUUUGGGCCAAAUUCGUACUUCUGACAACUCAACCCUAAACCACCCCUCUCUGGCUGACACCGUUCUUGUCUCUGUCUCUCAAGGUAACCAAUCCACAAAAUCUUUCUGUUUUUUAUUAUAAAAAAUUGAUCUUUUCGAGUAUGGUGAUCUGGGUUUUAUCCGUAGUGAUUAAAGAAAAGAUGACGAGUCCCAUUUUAUUAUCCCUUCAACCCCAUUCACCUCCUUUACAACAAAACCAGGAUUUGUCAGAGCCGAAGAACCCCACUUUCGUUUUGGGCUUUCAUAUGAAGUGGAGAAUUUUUAUGCAGGAUAUUUUUUAUAUGAAACAAAGGGAGCAACAAUGGAGUGGACCCUUUUUAGUAUUUCUUUUUCCUGUCAUGUUUUCAUUAAGCUGUUAAAAAAUGCCGAUGGGAGUUCUGAAAAAUUGAAAAUUACUUGUGUGUUUUUGUGGAUACGAUUAUGGUGUGAUGUAACGGUGUUUACUUAGAUUUUGUUUCAUAGAGUGAUUGGUUUCUGUGUAGGCUUUAUUUUUUGUUGCGAUGACCGUUAAAGAACCAUCUUAAUUCAAAAAUUUAAGCUAUUAGGUGAAGUUUCAGGAUAUAAUUUAUAUUAUUCUCUAACACCCUCCUCAAGUGAAAGCUAUUUGGACUUGAAAUUAACUUGCAUAAGCUCAUAUUAUCUUGUGCUUAAUUUUUAUCAAAUAAAUAGGAGGUGAUGAGAUUCAAACUCAUGACCGUUUUGUCAUCAAGGCUCUGAUAUCAUGUCAAAGAACCAUCUCAAUCAAAAAAUUUAAACUAUUAAGUGAGGUCUAAGGAUAUGCUUUAUAUUAUUUUCUAACAAUGACUAGUGUUAGACACUAAAAAAUAGUAACUUAAUAAUAAGAGAGAUUAUGUUAUGAAAUUUGUUGAUGUAAAUGAUGUUUUUCUCCACAAAUGAUCGAAGCAGAAUAAACUGAGUGAUGUAGUCUAUGAAUGCUAGAGAUGGAAGUGACGAUUAUUUCCCCAAAUGAGCGAAGCUGAAUAAACUGAGUGAUCUUUCUCUUUUUAGAGAAUCCAAGCCAGAAAUCUGAUCCAUUUUUUUGCAUCUAUUUAAGUUUGUCAAGUGUAUGUUUAGUUUUUUUUUUUUUUUUUUAUGCAUAAGUGGUUCAUUUCAGUAUUUGCUAUAUGUUCUUGCUUUUAAUAUCCAUGAUUAUUGAUGUGGAGCAUAUUACAACUAUAUUUAUGAACUAGAUGGGCAGGACCAAGUAUAAAAAGAAGUCUAUGAAGAAACUCGGAAACAUCUAAUAUAAGCUUGAAGUUGUUGUUUUAAUUGUUAAUUUUGAAUUUUAAUUAUUUGUUUUUAAUUAAAACAUUAGAAUUUAGAAAUUCUAAUACUAAAUGAAUUCUAUUAAUUAGAUAAGUUUUAAUUAGAAAUUCUUUUCUAUAAAGGAUUUUAGUUUUAAUUAGGAAUCUUUUCAAACAAAGGAUUUUAAGACUAAUAUAAAUAGAGGUGUUUAGUUUAUUUUGAGAAGAAAAUUAUUAUUAAAAUUUAAUAAAACACCAUAGAGUUUUUUUUUAAAUUUCUCUACAGCUUCGGCCUUUAACCUUAAUUAGGGCUUGAGAACCUUGGCUUUUAACCACGCUAUGCGCCGCGUCAAUUACAAAAUUUUAGUAAAAUUGAUCAUUAACUUAAAACAAAAUAUCCAAUGACAUACCGGAUAUGCGAGAGCAUAUAAAUCAAAAUAUAUUUCAACAUGUAGAAUCAUAUUUACAAAACCUGCAAGAAUAAAAUUAAAAAAAUAUAGUUUAGGGGUAUAUAAGAAUAUGAAAAUUUCAAAGACCUAAAAAAAAUAAUGGAGUGAACUGUUUAAAGUGGAAGGAUAAAAAAUAAAGCAACAAUAAUCAUUUUUUUUAAUGUUAGUUUGUAGGCUACAAAUAUAGUUCAUGGGAUUUUCAAUUUGCCCUUUCCUUCAAUCCUAUGGUUCUCAUCGUCUGUGCAGAUCAAAAGAAAUGGAGUUGUUGCUUCAAAAAGUUGUUUUUGCCAGCUAGGUGAUGAAGUCAAGGUGAAAAAACCUUACACAAAAAUGGCUUGUCAUUGGCUGUGUUCUAGGCCUAUGGUGGGGUGGUCUCGAUCGGUGGCUCCUGUAAACCGGUCCCUGUUGAAAUUCCCAUGCUCAAAUCAAUAAAUAUAUAUGUCGUUUUCAUUCCCUGUGUUCUAGGCCUAUCGAGCUUGAACUUUUCUUCAUGAAAAAAAGAGGUAUGAUGCCAGCACAAAUUGGAGAAGAAGCUGGUGUGUGAUGGAGUUCAUUUGUUUGACGUCACGUAAUAAAAAUAUAGCUAUUGAUAAUAGAAAUUAAUACUUAUCUAUAAAAAAUUUUAUGCAAAUUACAUGUGUUAUAUUAAAAUUGUUAGUACAGGAAGAUAAAAUAAAUAUAUAAAUGUUGAAGAAAAAGGCAAAGAUAAAAAGAAAUCAUAAAGAGAGGAAGAAAAUUAGUCCAAUCAUAAAAAAUAACUAUUCUGUCGCACAAAAAGAGAGCGACUACCUGGUUACCCAAAAAAUAUGCGUGGUCUGAUCCUCUCAUAAACUAGCCUACUGAGAUAGAUUUGUAUUUUCACAUAAUUUAUUUGUCGUUUUACAAUUAUUAUUGAGUGGUAUUUUUGUUCUCUCUACAGUAAAUUUACUUCAGUACUUUUGAAAAUAAAAUUUCACUUAAAGGGCAUUAUUUGUUUUUAAUUUUUUUUAAGAACAGUGCAAUGACUCUAUCAUUCUUGAAAAAAAAAAAUUAAAAGCAUCUUUGUAGGGACGAAUUCAUCAUUUCCAGAUAGUUUUUAGUAAUAACUAUUUGGUUCUAAGAAUGAUAUUAUCUUUUGAUACAUAAUAAAAAAAUAAAAAGCUGUUGAAGCUUCAAGCUCAUAUAACAGGGGUCAGCCACUCCGCCACCUUCGAUUGACGUGUGGCUAACUCCGGCAGCGGAGAAAUUUGUUCGCAAUGUCAUCCAUAUAGUGAUUAUAUAUGGUUUGGUGACGGUUUGAUUUUUUUCAGCCAUCUAAGAUUAGUUUUAAGUCAAUGUCUGAAAUGGUUGAAAAUAACACCUGACUUCAGUCCAGCUAUUUUAAUACAAAGCAAGAGUUAUAUGUUUUGGACAUGCCACUUUUUUUGAAAAGCUUCUCCGACGGCAAAAGCCAUUUAGAAAAGGCAAAUUGUUUGUAAGGCUUUUGAACAGUAUAAAUAUGAUUUAUUUUCUUCUGUACACUCCACAGGAAAAAAAAAUCAUUUCAACGACCCAUGUGAUUGUUAAAAAAAAUUAAUUGAUAAAAGUAAAUAAUAUAUUUUAAUGUUUCGAUUAUUUUAAUAAAUAUAUAAGAAUGGUAUUUUUUUUUAUAAAAAAAAGCUAUUCAUUUAAGUUUCCGUUAAAGAUGCUCUAUCGCAUCAACCUCAUCUAAUCAUUGUCCUCGUUUUCUGCUGGCCAUUCUCCAGUUGCUAUCAGCUGGCCAAUAAUAUUCAUUGAAUGAUUGAUAUCUUACAUUAUUUUCUACGUCAUUACAUCAUCGAAUUCGACAUUAUUAAUCAUCCUCAAAUGAUUUCUAUGCAUGUGGUUGCUAAAGCACUAGUGAAUCUUCCCAUUUUUUAAGAAUAAAAAAAAUAUUCGGAAAAGCUUCAGCAUACCCACUCCAGAAGCCCCUUGCAGCUUGCGACAUGAAGAUUAAUGUUAUCGUCCCAUCUAAUUGGAAUUCAGUGCCGAAUGACAAUCACGUUGUGAUACAUCAACUAGAAAUUAUAGGGGACCCAGUCUGAUAAUUUCAUCAUCAAAAGAUGCUCGUGGACUAGUACAUGAUCUCUUUUGUUAUUAGGCCAAGAAAAACCAGGAAAGCAUUUCAUUUCAGAGCCUCAGAGACAAUAUGAGGUCGACUGGAGCCAGAAAACCACAUGCAGUAUGUGUUCCCUUUCCAGCACAGGGCCAUGUUACCCCUAUGAUGCAUCUAGCCAAGCUUUUGCACUCAAGAGGCUUUCACAUAACCUUCGUUAACACUGAGUUCAACCACAGGCGAUUAAUCCGGUCCAGAGGACCAGACUCUGUUGAAGGCCUGCCUGAUUUCCGGUUUGAGACCAUACCGGAUGGUUUGCCUUUGCCACCAUCUGAUUUUGAGGCAACACAAGACGUUCCGUCCUUGUGUGAUUCAACAAGGACAAAUUGUUUGGCCCCAUUUAAAGAGCUCCUUACAAAGUUGAAUUCAUCAUCUGAAGUGCCUCCUGUUACUUGCGUAAUCUCAGAUGGAGGCAUGAGCUUCGGCAUAAAAGCUGCAGAAGAGUUCAACAUUCCCCAGGUUCAGUUUUGGACAGCGUCAGCUUGUAGCUUCAUGGGAUAUUUGCAUUUCAGUGAACUCACCAGAAGGGGCUUCGUUCCAUUCAAAGGUGUGUAUUUCCUGCCUUUUCUUCGUUUAUCUGUUUUGUACUAUCCAAGAGGGCAUGCAGCAUGCUUUCCUGGAUAUUUCUCUAUCGUUUGAGAAAAUGUUUAUCAAGGACAUAAAACUUUAUCCUUCCGUUGUUUCAGAAGAAAAUUUACUUCGAGAUGGCGAUACACCUAUUGAUUGGAUCCCUGGUUUGAGUAACAUCCGACUAAAAGACAUGCCAACCUUUAUCAGAACCACAAACGAUGAAAUAAUGUUUGAUUUUAUGGGAUCAGAAGCAGAGAACUGCUUGAACUCUCCUGCAAUUAUCUUCAACACAUUCAACGAAUUCGAAAAUGAGGUGUUGGAGUCUAUAAUUGCUACCAAGUUCCCUAACAUUUAUACAAUAGGUCCUCUUCCCUUGCUUGCAAAGCAUAUCGCAGCUGAAAGCGAAUCCAGGUCACUUGGUUCAAGUUUAUGGAAAGAAGACUCAAACUGUCUUGAUUGGCUUGAUAAAAGAGGACUAAAUUCUGUCGUGUACAUUAAUUAUGGAAGUGUGACCGUAAUGACAGACACACACUUGAGAGAAUUUGCUUGGGGCCUGGCAAAUAGUAAACUACCGUUUUUAUGGAUAAUUAGGCCUGAUGUAGUGAUGGGUGAUUCUGCAAUCUUGCCGGAAGAGUUUCUUGAGCAAAUUGAUGGUAGAGGAUUAUUAGCAAGUUGGUGUCCACAGGAUCAAGUUCUUGCACAUCCAUCAGUUGGGGUUUUCCUGACACAUUGUGGGUGGAAUUCUAUGAUGGAAACUAUAUCCUGUGGCGUUCCAGUAAUCUGCUGGCCUUUUUUUGCUGAUCAACAACCGAACUGCCGGUAUGCAUGCACCAAAUGGGGGAUUGGAGUGGAGGUCAAUCAUGAUGUUAAGAGAAACGAGAUUGAAAGUCUUGUUAAGGAAAUGAUAGAAGGGGACAGUGGGAAACAAAUGAGGCAGAAGGCUUUGGAGUGGAAAGAUAUAGCAGAAGCAGCUACCAAUAUUGGAGGAUCAUCUUACAAUGACUUCGAAAAAUUCAUCAAGGAGGCUCUUUUCUGUGUGUAGAAGACUGUAAGAGAAUAAACGGUAUUGUAAGGGUGUGAUAUCUUAAUUUCUGUUUGUUUCUGUCAUUUCACUUCUUGUAUGCCUCACCAUGUAUUUUUCCAUUUUAUAUGUAUUGAAGACUGCUUGGGACUGUCAGGACUAAUGUGGUAUUCAGUCUCAAUUUUCCGGCAUUGACAAGCAUGGCAUCCCUUUUGUCCAAAGAAUUUUUCCAGUUUGCAAAUUCCUUGAACUGUUGGUCUGUCACCACUGUCAUGGUGCCAUAAUUCACAUACAGAACUGAGUUGGGGUCUUGUUUAUCAUGCAUGGUAGAUCUAUUUUCUUACGAUAGAACCAGGGGGUUUGUGAUUAUCCUCUUAAGUAGAUUGGUGGAUCAGAUUGAUCCUGCCAUUAUUUCUACUGAUCAUUCCUGGGAUUUUGAGAAGGUUCAGACUAUUUAUCCGACUUUAUUUGCUGAUUUGAUUAGAGAUAUUCCCCUUGUUAAAUGGGCGGCAGUUCAUGAUUGAUUAAAACUGGAAGGUUCAAUGUUUGUUUCAUUAGCUCCCUUAUUUUUAUUUUUGAAAGGAACGAAGUAAUUAUGGAGUCGUCUUUCCGUGUACAAGGAAACCUGUAAACUUAGGAGAGGUUUUUCUAAUUAACAUAUUCCUAUAUAUCUAGUUUUAUUAGUUAUUUAUUAGAGCAAUUAUGAUUUAGAAAUCCAUGGGAGCAAGUGUUCUGAUUUAUUGUGACAUUGCCAACAACAUACAGAAACGACUCUGUACGUUGUGUAGAAAAACAGCCCUGAAAAUUGAGCUUUUGACAAAAGUUUGGAUCUUCGUUUUAAACUUUUGGAGUUUAGGACUGUUUAGUAGGUAGAUAUCAACAAAGGGGUGGUGGCGCAGUUGGCUAGCGCGUAGGUCUCAUAGCUUCUGAGUUAUCCUGAGGUCGAGAGUUCGAGCCUCUCUCACCCCAAUAUUUUGUUUUUCUUUUUUAACAAUAACCAAGCACUAUAAUAACACGUGUGAGUCCAUCUGUGGCAAAUUAAGCUCUUGAAAUGGUUCGAGAACCAUGAGAUUGAUACGCAUAGUUAUGGAAGAAUUUCUGCAAAAUUUAUGGGAACAUCAUUUUACAGCCUGUGAAUAUGCAAUACAGAGAUACAAACAAUUUCAUCUCACAAGGAAAAGAUCUUCGGUCUCCUAACUCAGUGUUUGAGUUCAAGCCCUACCAGACCACCACAAGUAAGGUGGAUGCAGCAACACGAACACCUACUCAAUGCUGACGUAUCAAAUCUUUCUUCUAUACCAACCCCCCCCAUCCCUGUCUCUCUUCCUUUCUUUUGUUUCUGUUUGUUUUGGUUUUUUCAAGAUUUCUUGGCCUUUCUUUGAAAUCCCACAGAACUUUCAUUCGUUUUCUAUGUCACCUAUUAUUCCUAUGAUUAACUAUGAUGUUAGCGAAUACUAAAAGAUAUUUCUAACUCUGGUAUUAGUGUAUAUAUAAAUAUUUUUUAUUUUGAUUUUAAUGAAUAAAUCAGUAAAAUUUAAAUUGAAAACAAAACAUAUAUUUUUAUUAUUAUUUUAAAUAGAAAAAAAAUAUAGAUAUAUAUUGCAUAUUAAAUUCACAUUUCACAAUAUAAAUUUACAUCUCAGUACUAAGUCAUAAAAAAUACAUGUGAGCAACCAAUAAAUAAAUCCAAAAAAGUCUUUAAAUUUUUUCUGAACUUUUUAAUAUUUUAAAAGGCCUGAUUGAUUUAGAUAUUAAACAAAAAAAAAAAGACCAUGAUGGGACACAUGCGAUGUCGAUGGCAACUCCAUAUUUAUAUUACCAUAUCAGCGGAGACAUCCCAAAAUACAAAUGAGUGGAUAUGCCGAUUUGCCUGGAGGUUAUGAAAACAAAUGUAACUUGCCAAGAAAGCUUACAUGCCUUCAUUUCAUGCAAGAAAACAAAGGCGCAAGGGGAUUAAACAGACAGUAAUCCGUGCAUUGACUGACCAUAUGCACCAUCUAUCAAAUGCUAAACGAGUUACAGUAACAAAACUAAUGGAAAAAGAAGAGUGAAUUCUUUUCUUGUUUGAAAGGCUUAUCAUGAGGUUGUUCAAACCUCACAGCUCAAAAUAUAAGCACAAAAGGUAAGGUUGUUGCACAUAUUUUAGCUAUUAUCCCAAAGAAUAAUUAAUAAGCAAGUGAACUACCUGUUCAACCAAAAAAAAAGACAUUCAGAGGUAAAAAAUCGAAUAACAGGAAGUCUACAUGUUUCAUCUCCUAUUUUAUCCGCUCCUUCUUUUGAAGCUAUAAUUUAUAUGGGGCAAGAUUAUCACAAUGACUUUACCUACCACUGCAAACACCUGUUUACUCCUUUCACAGUUCAAAUGAUGGAGAACUGCUCCCCCCUCCCCAAACAUCUAGCAUUGUUAUCAAAAUUUUGCACCAGCAAAAAGGCAACAUGUUUUGAACAGAGAACUGAGGCAACUAUCUUCUGCUGGUUGCUGUUUUGCCCUUGCUUAGGUCUGCAAGCUCCUCGAUAAGCUUUUUUUCUUCACUGCUCAAUCUUUUUGGAAUUUCAACUUGUACCCGGACCAACUGAUCACCCCUCAUGUUGCUUUUGCUUAGCACAGGGACUCCCUUCUUGGCCAUUACAAGAGUUGUGUUUGGCUGAGUUCCAGCUGGGAUCUUCAAAUCAACCAUGCCAUCCACUGUUGGAACCUUAAUCGCGGUACCCAAAAUUGCAUCUAUGUAUGAUACCUUGCAUGUGUAUAAGAUGUUGGUGUCAUCACGUUUUAGCACACGGUCUGGCAUGACUUCAAUAGAGACAAAGAGGUCGCCAGGUGAUCCACCUCUCCUUCCAGCAUUACCUUCAGAUCGGACCCUCAAACGGCUACCAGAGUCCACACCAGCCGGAACUUUCAAACUGAUACGCUUUGUCCGCCUUACCCGUCCAUCCCCAGAACAGGUGUUGCAAGGGCUAAAUGUUUCCCCGGUCCCAACACAUGAAGAGCAGGUCAUAACCUGCUGGAAAACACCUAAAGGAGUCCUUGUUGAUGAAACAACUUGGCCUUGUCCGCCACAUGUACUACAUUUAGAUGGCUUUGUGCCAGGUUUGGCACCUGAACCAUCACAAGUCCCACAGCUCUCUAGUCGGGUUAUCUCAAUUUCUUUUUCAACCCCAAAAACUGCUUCCUUAAAAGUUAAGACAAGAUUGUAAUAUUCAUCCUGGCCAUCAACUGCUCUAUUUCGGGAAGCUCUGCCUCCCAUGCCACCCAUGCCUCCCAUGCCCCCCAUGCCCCCCAUGCCCUCAAACAAAUCGAAAGGAUUGCUGAAGUCCUGUUAUGAGAAAAUAGUGGGUGAGGCAAAAAAUAUGGACGGGAUAAUACCUUUAAGUCCUUUAAAACAAGUGACUUUUUCAUAAUUUUCAUUAGAAACUUACUCCCAUGUCCAUGCCAGCACCUUUAAGUCCAGCCUCUCCGUACCUGUCAUAUAAAGAUCGCUUUUCGUCGUCUGAUAAUACCUGCAAGACAAGUUUAUGAUCAAAUCAACUACUUAAGAACAUGGAAUACAAAAUCACCACAACUCAAAUCAUAGACAACAAAACUGCGCUUUUACCUCAUACGCAUUGCUAAUUUCCUUAAACUUCUGCUCUGCAUCAGGUUUUCUGCAGCACAGAAAUUCAAUAUUAUCAAACAGGUCUGGAAAUUAAAUUUGUUCACGUGAAGAUGAAACUUAAUAUAAAUAAUUACUAGACCCCAAAAUUGGUUGCUUCCGUAUUAAAUUAGGAUGGAACACAGCACUAUCUUCCUAUUCUUUGAUAGCAACAUUGAUCAUUGAUGGUGAAGAUCCUCUAUUUAGAAUUUAUAGAAUGUUAGAGUUUGAAAUUAACCUCCAUCUUUGAUAUUUAAAUCCUCUAAGCAGGAAAUUGGUCUUUGGAGCCAGCUCCUACCACUCACCAAAUCAAAAUCCUUGAGUUCUCAAGCAUAAUUGAUAUGAAACGCCAAUAACCAAAUUUCAUCCAAAGUCAUACAAAUUCUCGAUCAAAACACAUUGAUAACUGUCCAUAUUGACCUCAUCAUAUCAGGAGAGAACUUAAAAGGCAACAUGAAAUAGGAAAUAAGAGAAAACGCUGCUGCCUUAAGAUGGCAUUCAAGUUUCAAAUGGGUGAAGGCUUUCUAUAUUAGUAGCUACAAAAUGAUGGAAGGAGCAUAACAAAUGAUUGCCGGUGUUCUAAGUUGACAAAAAAUUCAUUUGCUGCCCUCAUUUCUCAGUAUUAAAUGGAACUGAAAGAUGGAAGCUAUAGCUUUCUUCAUGCAGGUGGGGGUGCUUGACUUUACACUGAAGAGCACAAUUGAUUUCUCCAAUUUUCAAGUGCGUUUGUGCUAAUUCUAAAACAUGGCUUGACCAAUAGAACACUUGGAACAUUAAAUUACCGUUUACCCAAUUUCUUAAAAUCAAUGGAUUUUACAGCCUUUAUUAGUCCAAUACAAAGUGCUUCUCCUGAUCAUGUAGCGGGCAUGACCUAACAAUUAAGCACAUGUUAACUCACACAUUCCAAGAAGUCUGUUCAUGCCUCCACUGAAGGCUUGCCCAUAUCACCAUACAUUACCAUACAAAUUACAAACAUAUGGGGCAGUCUCUAAAAGAAGGAAAAGGAAACCACCUAGAACUAGUCCAAAAGCUUAACAAGCAGAACAUAUGAUACACAGUUCCCAUAAAUCAAAGUCGUAAAUAAAAAAGCAACUUACUUGUUCACAUCUGGAUGGUAACUCCUAGCAAGCUUCCGAUAAGCUGAAACGCAUUAGGAAUAAAAAAGGUCAGAACUUAUUUUAUAAAAGAAGAAUGGUAGCUAUGCUAAAAGCAUUAAUAAACUGAAUAAAUUUGAUCUGUGGCAAGUAUACAAGUGCAUUCCUGAAAUAACUCGAAGAAUUGCCCUAUCAAGACAAGUGACCUUAUCAAUUAAUGUAGAUAAACCCAGCCUUCGCAGAAAUUCCAGAAGUAGAUAUUCCUACUCAACAAGAUCUCUUAUUUAUUUAUUUAUUCUGUAGAUAAAAAAUCAGUCCAUUACAGUGCUUGAUUUCAUGACUUCAUCCAGAUCAAGACUUUUUUCAAGAUAAACCAAAGUCUAAGUUUCAACCUAUUCGGUUAUGCAUGAUGGAUAUAGCAGUUCCACUAAUCAUGACAGAAAAACAGUACAACAUACCAACCCCAAUCAAGAUACCAAUAAAUCCACCACAAAAAAUUCAGUGAGCACAAAAACACAUAUGCAAACUUAUUUCAUAGGCAACAUGGACAGGAACGGGCAAUAAUGGUUCUCUGCGUAAAGGCUUUGAGAAUGGAAAUGAAACACAUAAGGUUGCAAGAGCAGUUUUUGUUCCUCCAGUGCACAGACAGGUAAUUAAGGUUAUCAAGUUCUCCAAAAAGCACCAAAAUGUAUCUAAACAAGAAGGAAAGCUGAAACAUCAGACUUGAAGAACGAAUAAGUGUAUGAUUGGAUCAUCAUAACAUAAAUUUGAAACUGGGUGUUUGUGGCAUAAUCUUUUCUAGUUAAUGUUGAGCUUUCUUUUUAUCAUUGUUCAGAUUAACAUAUCUAUUACAAAGAUGAGAGUACUUUGGCAGUUCAAUUUUUUUAGGUCAUAGAUUGUAGUACUGAUGCAUAUGUUAUUCAAGGAUUGUGCCACCACCUUAUAUGUGAUUGCUCGUAUUUUCAGGCUUAUAUCCCUAAAAUUUGUCUUUGUUUCUCAACUAUUUCCAGCCAAUUUCAUCAUUUUUUAAAAAAAUAAUUCUUGCCACCUUGCAAUUGGGUGGCAGUACAUAGAAACAAUUAUUUACCAUCUUUUGAGGUAUGCUUUAAACCUAAAAACAUAUUACCCAUGAAAAACCAAAAUCCUUAUUAAAAGCCUGGCUACUGAUCUCAAGUACUUGUCCCACUUAUUGCUGCCCUUAUUUAGACAAAUUAGCAACAGUCAACAUGCACAGAUGACAAGCUCAGUGCAUGGUGCAGUGUUUCUUGCCUAAUCACAACCUCCCACUACACUAUUUUCUAAGAAAUUAACCACCUAAUAACCCCAAUUGGAACAACCCCAAUUCCUCUAGCUCCAGCCACAGUUCAAAAAUUCAUGAACCCAAGUUCUCAAUUUGUAACAAUGAAUCAGCCACAAGAGCUGGAUUUUUUACACCAAUUUGAAGACCCCAGAUUCCUCCAUUCACCUAAAAGAUCCUUAAAAUCAGAAUCUAGCACUAGCAUUAGCCCUCCACUUGACAAUUUGAAGCAGCAACAGCAAACCUUGUUCUAGUUAUUGGAAGUCAGACAUGAAUUUUAUCUUAAUAGCACCUAAUACUCUCUUUUAACAGCUUUCAUUGAAAUACACAAAUACUUCCUCCAGUAAUGUAAGGCUUCAUGAAGAAGCCCACAGCAGUAUUAAGAUUGGUACUUUUCAGUGUACAUUAUGUGAUCCAAAAAAGGCAAUAUUUUAUGAAAUUCUACAAAAUUUCCUGGGCUACUGUAUCCUCAGCCUUAGAUUGUCAUAGCAGAUUAACACUUGUACACUUAAGAUAUACCAUACCAACAUUAAUCAAAGAAUAGUAAUUCUGCCAAUUGCCAGAUAGACAGGAUGAAUUUUAUCCUCUAUUGGACACCAACAGGCAUGAGUAUUAGGAUGUGGUACAACCAUUCAAGCAUAUUGCUCAAGAACAUAAAUUGAGAUAAGUAGAAUGGCAGAGGCAAUAUUAAUAAAGUUCUGAAGAUGGGGCAAGCAAAACAUUACUUUUCAGUGCCAUUAGGCCUCCUACACAAAAAAGUCAUUGCUAAAAUGAGAUUAGGCUUCAAUAAAUGAAGGAUAGUGGUGCACCAUGUACAUACCGCUUUUAAUUUCAGAUUUACUUGCAUUUUUUGACACUCCAAGAACAGAAUAGUAAUCCUGCAAAUGAGAAAAUGUUAUAGUUCUAAGUCAAGCAAACAUUUAAGAACCGAAUAAGCAAAAAAAGAGACAGUCAAUACUGCCACCAAUGUCAUCAUUGAGAAAAAAAUAAAACUUUAGUUUAGACUCACACUAUCCGCUCUCACUACAAACCGUGUUCCCCUACGCUGAUUUGAAGUUUGAGAAGUCCCUGUAUAAGAUAACACAGGGAAGGAAUCCCGUGAGAAUAAGCUUGAGCUUGGUGCCGCCAAGUAGCUCAUCAUGGUGUCAAUGCUGCAAGAUGGUUUUAAAUAGAGUCAAUUAUCCGUCUAUCUAUACAAAAUAAUUAUGAGAACUCUUUAUAGCACAUGAUCAGAUGAAAAUGUCAUGCUACAAAAUGCUAAUAAAUCAUGUGGCAACACAUGACACAAAAAUUAUGAUACCAAUAAUAAUAAACCGUUGUUAUACAAUGCUAAUGCCCAAAAAAAUAAUUGAACUCCUUCAACCGCUAUAUAACUAAUUUUGAAAGGAACUGUCCUAGGAUAAUAACUUAAUACAGCUUUCAAGUAUAUGGCUGACUACAAGUAGAAAAGCACCUAAUGCUUGGACCCAUACCAGGUGAAAGAGCAUCAAAUUUCAUCUUUAGAUAAAAGAAAUGUUAACCUCCAAGGCCCUCAAGGAGCACCAAAGUGUGUCAAAUUGUCCAUUUAAAAAAACACAUCAGGGUUGAUCUCAUAAGCAAACAGAAGAAGGAUAUUCAUUUGAUUCCAGCUUCAGAAGAGGGACAAACAAGCAAACAGAAGAAGGAUAUUCAUUUGAUUCCAGCUUCAGAAGAGGGACAAACAAAACCACGCGAGGGGACCCAUUCUUCAUAGUAAACAUGUGCUUUCCUCCUCGACUUGUAAAAGGACCUUCAUGUCCUACCCUUCUUUUCAUCUUGGUAAAUACUAGUAUUUUCUACACAAUCAUUUUCAAAGCAGCAUUCUAAAAAAAAUCACUGAUUGAAGAACCAUUCAUGAUCUUAGACUAUCAGGACCCUCGAGUGCCCUCAAGUGAAGAAGAGAUCAUGAUCUUUGUCAGUCCAAAAAGGUAAAAAUCUCACUACAGAGCAUGUCAACAGAAUUUGCUUUCUGCAAUCAAGGACCUGCUACAGUGCUUACUAUUAUGGCCUGACCACUGGCAAAUUCAAUACUAUUACUUUUAGUUAUCUGCAUGUGUCUAUGUAAAACAAAGUGGGCUCUUGCUGAUCCAAGAGUAAGCAUGAGCUGGCAUGGCUAGUUCGAAGCAGUUAGGAACAAGUUGUGGUGGCCCAAAGGGACCGACAGAUGUAUAUGUAUAAUCUAGUGUAUGUGUUUUUUUUUUGUUUGUGUGUGUGUGUGCGUGUGUGUGUGUGUGAGAGAGAGAGAGAGGUUAAAUAGAUAUGCUCACCCAUGUCGAGCUUUCAUUGUCCUUUUUGGCAUAUAGGAUCUUAUCAUAAACUGAGGGCGAAUACCCCAUUGAGCAAUUGAUGUGCUUCCACAAGGCAUAAUUGCCAUCUAAAUAGAUUUCAGCAAUAGAAAAGACCUUAUCAGCUAGUUUACGCCCGAUGCCCUUCUUCAAGCUGAAAAAAGUAUAAAGCUUUGAGGUUUAGUUUACCAUGUAUAAUAAAAUCCAGAGUGAAUUGAACAAAUUACUGCAUACAAUGUACACAAUGGACAGGGUUUUGCUCAUAUUUUCCCAAAAAACAAAUGACCAACUGAUAUAUAUAAGGCAAGAGAUGCCAUGUGUAGAUUUAAUAGGAACAAAAACAUAAUCAGAAACCCAUUGCUAGCAGUGAAACCAAUCCCUGGUCAUAGGUUUCUACGUCAUCAGCAUAGAACCUUGCUGGGAACCUAAUGACAAAUGCUUGAAUCAAAACCACUGAGACAUAACAGAAAACCACCAGAAGUUUCAAUCAACAACAGGAAGGGUUUCACACGACUUGUGGUCGACACUCCUGCCAAAACUUUAAUGAUUAACACUUCCAUCAAGGGUAACAAUGCAGGACAUCAAGACAACAGGCAAUUAGCAAAAGAAAAUUAACUUUUUUUUAACACAUCUGUUUAUGGGAUCUAUUCCAUACCUUAUAAGUAACUCCUUUUGUGUUUGGCAACAUUUUAGAAGAACUUCUCUUUGUUUCUCAGAACCAAGAAUGGAACUUUUAGCUUUCAAAUUCAGUAAAAACAUUCAAAAUGCCAACCAAACAACACAAAAUUACAUGUACAGCUAGGGUUCCAAUCCCAACAACAACAGUAAAAACACCUCAAAAUAGGAGACCAAAAGAGAAGCAAUUUGCAAUUUGGUAUUCAUGUGAAAUAACAAAGUUUCCAGUGACCCAAUACAAAAGAAAAGGACCCUAUAUUCAAUAACAGCAUCACCUAAAUGAUAAAACGUAACCAUUAAUAAAAAAAACAAAAAAAAUGUAUCUUUCUAGCUAUAUAUAAGAAGUCCUACAAAAGUAGGGCAGUCAAAGAGAAAGCAAAGCACCCUAUAUAAAAGGAACCUGCUCUGUGUGUUCUUUUUCUUCUUUUCUCUUUUAAAGUCUCAGUAGCUUGCCUGCUUAGCUGCUUCUCUCUCACGCUCAUACAGCGGGAGGGAGAGGGAAAGGUGUUGGUGGCAGGCAGGAGUAGAAGGAAGCAAGUGAAAGGAGGAUGAGGCUAGAGGUUUCUCAUUGGAGAAAAGGAAAAUCUAAUUUAAAUCGGCUUAUUAUUAGGUGAUUUGGCCUCACUAAUGUCUAUUUGUACCCUACUUCUCUGCCGUUCAAUAUUAUUCGUUUCAUCUUAUGCCUUAGAUUCCUUUUCUUUGAUACUGUCUAAAACCCAAGUUUCUUCGGUCAUGUGCUACACUGUACUCUUCCUAUUAUAAAAAUAAAUAAAUGGAGUUUUUACUUUUUAUUUCUUUUAUUCCAAACUUUUUGGAGUUUGCACUUGCGAAGUUGUUGCAUAUCGGGAAACAUUUUUAUUUAAAUUAAUUCUAACUUAAAUCUUAAUUUUUCCAUGGUUUAAUUAAGAUUUAAGUUAGAAUUAAUUUAAUCUCUGGUAUAAGGAUACCUAAUCAAUAAUCAUGUUAUGUUUAAUUAGCAUUUCACAACUCAAGAAAUAAAUAUAAAAAAUACAUAUUUAGUUAAAAAAUAUAAAUAUAUAACAGCUUUAAAAUAAUUUUUAUGCUUUUACAAGAAAAAAAUAUAGAAAUGCACGUAGGUCCAUUUAUAAAAUCAUUUUAAGAGAUUUGGAAUUGAAUUAGUUGUAGUUAUAACAUGAGAUUUUUUUAAAAAAAAUAUUAUCAAUUUUUAAUCUAGAUAAUGUUUUCAAUAUGUCUCAGAUAUGGGACCAGUUUUAGGCAAUUAAAGAAGAGUGUGACUAUGAGGUUUGUUAUGUUUCAUCGAUGUAUGUUAUGGUGUUUCUCCUAUCUAAUAAUAUUAAUUGCUUUAUAAACAUAGAUAAAUUGUUAAACCAUGCUAAAAUGUUGUGCUUAGUGUUUAGGCAAAGAUCAAUGAUCUUAUAUGAUCCCAGCAAGUGGGAUUAGAGUUAUGGUUGUAGAAAAACCAUAGGUGUUUGAUUUUUGUAGAAAAUAAAAGUUAUCUAAAUUGUUUUUUAGACAUACCACUUUGAAAAAGAGAGAAGCGCAAUGAUGAAAAUUUUGUGCAAAUUGGAGCUAAAACGAAGCUAUACAUGCUAAUGAAAGUUUGCUUAGAAAAGUCAACCUAAAUGUAAUGUCACGUCAUCAUUUCAUGUAAGCAACUAGUCAUCGCCAUAUCAACAUGGUCAUGUCAUUGAGUUGUAAAUCAUCAAGUUGCAUAUGAGUCGAGCCUCAAGCAAGGGUAGGGAUUGAGUUUAGUCAAUCCUAUGUACAACCGGAUAUGUAGAUCAAUAUGGGUCAUUCAUUAGCAAGAACUUUGUUGAUCAAAUUCGAGCCGUUUAAAAUGUGAUUUGGUUGAUUUCAUACUUGUUUCUCAAUAAUUUAAUUGUUCUGGAUGCAUCAGUAUGAUCUAUUUGUUGAUAUUUGGAUUGAAAGUGAUGGUGAUAAUAUAAUGAGAUGAAUUGCCUAGGAAAUAUGGCAUCUGGUGAUCAUCUUGGUAGGUGAUGGUGAUGAAGAAGAAGAAGUUGCACAUGUUGGCCCAAUACAUAUGUUGAAUUGCUAAGUGAUAAGCCAACCUUAUUAAAAGGAGUUUGGCACGACUUGAAGCCUUGAGAAAGAGGCAAAAUUAGGAUACUCUAUACACCCAGUUAUAUGGAAUAUGGAAGAUCAGGGUGUAAAGUGAAAAAUUAUUAAAGACCAAUCCUAAUGAAUUGGUAGUGCUAGUAGUCUCGUCAGGUGUAAAGAAAUCAUACUAGAGAUAACCCAGGAUGUUCAAAUUAUUUGUGAUAGAGUAAAAAAUGAGACUUCAUGACCAAGUAUGCAAUGGAAGAAUUAUCGAGAAUAGUCGUAGCACAUCUAGCAAAUUAAAUUUAUUUUUGAACAAUGAUAUUGUUCAUAUAAAUGGUAUUGGUUACAUGUUAAUGUUUGGAAAGACAAUAUGAUGAAUGAAUAUGGUAUAUGAAACUCUGUUUGAGGAGAUUAGAUUUUAAAUGGGACCAUUUAUGACCCCUCCAAUCUUUUAUACUAGCUUACUUAGUGAAAGUAUUAUUCACAUGAUAUUAUUAUUGUAUAUGCUAUAGUUUGUGGUGAAACGGUGGUAGUUUAUAAAGUUGAUGACAAAUGGAUGAUCAAGUUCUUCAUGUUCAAUGAUCUGAUAGAAAUGUGAUUUCUCUAGAGAUGUUAGAUUAACUACAGCGAAAUACAGUAAAGAAAAAGAAGAUCGACACCCUAUUUUGACUCAAAGAUAUGUGAUAAAUAGAGCUACUGUAAAAAAUAGAUGAGCAAUAGGGGAAAAUGACCAGUAGAGCAGCCAUCAUAAAGAGCUUAGAAGAUGAUGAAAUAGAUGAUUUCAUACUUUAGCACAUGCGUUUAGGCCAUGUUGGUAAAGAGGCUUUGCAAGGGUUAAUCAAACAAGGUCUAAUAAAAAGCGUUAAAACUAGAAAGCAUGGGUUCUGUAGGUAUUGCGUUCUUAGAAAUUAGACAAGGAUCAAGUUUGGCACCGCUGUACACAGCACAAAAUGGAUUCUAGACUAUGUUCACACAAAUGUAUAUAGGACCUUCAAAUAAUGAAUCUCUUAGAGGUAAUUAGUGGUUUGUUACUUUUAUUAAUGAUUUCUCAUGACGAGUAUGGGUGUACAUGAUGAAAUAUAAAGAGGGGUCCUUGGUAUCUUUUUGAAAUGGAAGAAAAUGGUGGAGACUCAAACUGGAAGGAAGGUUUUUCGAACAGACAAUGGUGGUGAGUGCACUUCAGAUCUUUUCUUUAAAGUUUUCAAGAAUAAAGGGAUCAAACGAUAUUUAAUUGUUCACAAAACACCUUAACAAAAUGAAGUAGCAGAACGCAUAAAUUGCAUAUUGAUGGAGAAAGUUUGACGUAUACUAUCACAUUUAGGACUAAGAAAAGCAUUUUAAGGCGAGGCAUUAAGCUAUGCUUGUCAUAUUUCCAAUCAAUUACCUUCAACGACAUUAAAUGGAAGAACUCCCUUGGAGGUAUGGUCAAACUCUUUUGUUACUAAUUAUGAAUCAAUACGUGUAUUUAGAUGCUCCAUAUAUUAUCAUGUUACUGAGUUUAAGCUAGAUUCUAGAGCCAAGAAAGCUAUAUUCUUGGGUUUUAUUGGACGAUAAAAGGUUAUAGAUUUUAGUGUUUUGAAUAAAAAAAAAUAAUGAUGAGUAGAGAUGUCACUUUUGACGAGUCUAGCAUGCUGCAACAAGAGAAAUCAUAGGAGAAUGAGAAACAACCAAGUGACGCAUAACAUGUGGAGUUUGAGAUUUUACUCAUUCCUAUAAAGAUUAUUCAAACAGUCAAUUUCCCUAUAGAAGGAAAUCCAGAUAAAAGUUUACAUGAAAAGGAUGUUAUAACUCUAGUAACCACAUAACAACAAGAAUUCAUUACAACAAGUAAACUAAAAAGGGUUGUAGAGAAACUUGCCUAGUAUUGUAAUAUGGUAGCCUAUGCAUUUUUGAUGAUUGAUGAUGAAAUCCUCUAUACCUACAAAAAAGUAGUACAAAGUACAGAAAAUACAAAAUGAAAAAAAGGCAAUGGAUAAAGAGAUGAAAUAUCUUAACAAGAAUCAGACUUGGAAUUUAAUAUAACUUCCUUAAGGAAAGAAGGUAGUUGGUUACAGAUAGGUCUAUUCCAAGAAGAAAGGUAAUCUUUGAAAAAACAACAUCUGAUUCAAGGUAAGAUUUGUUGUAAAAUGCUAUCAUAAAAAAGAGAGGAUAAAUUAUAACAAGGUAUUCUCCCUGAUUGUUAAUCGUUCAUCAAUCUAUAUUAUAUUAACUUUGGUUGCACAAUUUGAUCUUAAGUUUAGCCCAACUUGAUCUGAAAAUCGCCUUCUUACAUAGAGAUUUGGAAGAAGAAAUUUUUAUGUCCCAGCCAUAUGGUUUCAAAGUCACCAAGAAAAAGAAUCGGCCUUGUAAACUGAAAAGGUCAUUGUAUGGAUUUAAACAAUCUUUGUGCUAGUGGCACAAAUGUUUGACAAGUUUAUGGCAGAAUACGGAUACAUAUAAAGUUAGUUUGACCAUUGUGUAUAUUUUUGUAAGCCCCUUAUUUUUUCAUCUAUUUGCUCUUAUAUAUGAAUGAUAUGUUGAUUGUAUCUAAGAGAAAGGUGAAGAUUAAUAAACUAAAAGCUCAAUUAAAUAAUGGGUUUGUGAAGUACCUUGAAGAAGCUAAGAAGAUUCUUGGCAUGAAGAUUCAAAGAGAUAGAAGGAAAGGCAUCAUUUGCACGGACCCAAUACUUGAAGAAAAUUCUACAGAGAUUUGGUGUAAAUGGCAAGACCAAACCUGCAAGCACACAUUUAGCCCCUCAUUUUAAGCUCAUUCCUUCAUUAUCUCUACACGCGAAGGAUGAGCAUAAACAUAUUGCUCAAAUUUUAUAUACAAAUGCAGUUGGUGCAUUAAUGUAUGCAAUGGUUUGUCUAAGACCAAAAUUUCACAUGCUUUCAAUAUGGUGAGUAGGUAUAUACAUGAUCUGAGAAAGGGUUACUGACAGGCAAUAAAUUCAUAGCACAAUUGAUUGAGUGAAAUUAGAGGUCAACGUUAAAGUUUAAAAGACAGAAUCAUACAUAUUUAGUUAGUUUUAUGGACUCAGACUAUACUAGUGGUUUGGACAAGGGUUGUUCCACUAUAGGCUAUGUAUUUACACUUGCUAGAGGACAUGUGAGUUAGAGGUCAACGUUACAAUCAACAAUAUCUUUGUCAACUACUAAGACGUAGUACAUGGUAGUGACAGAAGCCUUUAAGAAAGCUAUCUGGUUACAUGGGUUGAUUAAAAGACUUGAGAAUUGUUCAAAAGCACGAGGAUGUUCAUUGUGAUAGGCAAAGUACGAUUUAUCUUGCAAAGAACCAGGUUCAUCAUUCAUGCACCAAGCACAUCAAUUUUCAAUUUCAUUUUGCUCAAGAAAUUAUGGAUGAAAGGGAUAUUUUACCACAAAAGAUUGGUGCUACAAAUAAUAUGGCUGACAUGCUCACAAAAGUUGUCUUAGGAAUCAAGUUUCAACACUGCUUGAACUAGUCAAUAUAUAUCACUCAGUGUUAAGUACCUUCGAGGUGCAUGGCAUCAUUGAGUGAUCACUAGGAUUGGAUGGAAAAAUCUCACAAGGUUAGAGAUUUAUGGCAGUUUGUCUAGAUUUCCCCCCUCCUCUGUCUCCAUAACUAUGCCGACCUCUAACCAACAACUUCCACUCUCCAACUAUCUCUUUAACUCUCCAGCUCCAAACCUCCAACUUCACACGUAAUGACACCAUUUAGUCCCUAUAAAUAGGAGGCUCCCUCCAUUGUUGAAAAAAUCAAGUGAGAGUGAGAUUAAUUGAGUGUGUGAGAAGUGAGCAACUUACAAGAGAAAAAAGAGAUAGAGAGCUUAGUCUUGAUUUUGUAUUGAGGUUUUGGCGAGUGAUUGUAUCAUUCCUCCAAUAUAGUGAAAUUUACUGCUCCAUGGAUAUACCACGUUAACAAACAGACGGGCUUGUUUGUUUUUGCUUCAAAUUAAUAUUUUUUGGUGUUUUCAGAUUAUUUUGAUGUGUUGAUAUCAAAAAUGAUUUUUUAAAAAAAAAUAUUAUUUUAAUGUAUUUCCGAAUAAAAAAUACUUUGAAAAAUAAUCUCAACCACACUCUCAAACACGACAUGAUUCCUCAAUCAGGUUGGUCCACGGAGCAGCAGAUUUUGCCAUUUUUUACCGUUGAAAUCUGGGAGAAAAUGUACCCGAAGUGUUUGCCAAUGUGAUGCUUGUGAAGAAAGCAAAUGGGAAGUGGAGAAAACGUGUAGACUUUACCACCCUAAAUAAAGCUUGUCUGAAUGAUAGUUACCCCUCAUGAGAAUUAAUCAACUUGUGGAUUCAACGCUCGACCAUCAUAUGUUGAGUUUUUUAGAUUCGUUUUCCAGGUAUCACCAAAUUAAGAUGAAAGAUGAAGUUAAAGAGAGAACGUAUUUCAUCACAUAUUGUUAUAAAGUGAUGCCUUUUGGAUUAAAAAAAUGCUAAAACAACUUGUAAAAAAUUGGUUGCUAAAGUCUUUUGGAUUAAAAAUUGGUCACUGGUCGGAAGGUAGAGGCCAACAUUGAUGAUACGGUGGUUAGAAGUGUGAGAUCAGUUGAAUGAUACAUGGGAUAGCGAACUCAGUCGCAUCAUACCCUUGCAAACUCAAAGCAUCAUGGCGAACUUCAUUUUUUGGUGAACUGGCCCAAAUUUUUAAUCAGAUAAUUAAGUAAAUGCCGAUAAGGGUUUUUUUUUUUUUAAUCGAAUUCACAAUAAGUAAUUGCGAAUAAAAGAUGCAGAAAAUAGCAAAAACGCUAUAGUAAUGAAGUGUCAAACCUUUCUCAUAAAUAGCACCUAGUAGUGGAUUCCUAUAAUAGCAAGAAAACAUCUUUCAUGAGAUUAAAGCAUGAUUGUCAUUGACUUGGAGAAACCAACAGAGUGCAUGCACAAUAUAUUCUGACAAAUUAGACCAUCUAAUUAUAUCAUGACUAAAGAAAAGCUUACGUUAUUUAUUACACAACACUAACUCCAGAUGGCGAAUGAACAUACUGAAUGGUAACUCUCACAGGCUAGCACAAGAUGCCUUCCCUCCACAAUACCAUGCUACUGUCACCAUCGCUCUCCUUCAAGUACCACUGCAAUAUCAAUUACAAAUUGAAAAUCAUAUCAAGCGUAAAAUUUGCACGUGGAGAAAGAAGAAUUAAGGCAUAGAGCUGCAAGACUAGUUGAAAACCUGUCAGUGACAACAUCUUCCAGAAGAUAGCAGCACAUACUCCAGGACUAGAACGUAAAAGAUGGCACCUAUUCCAAAGCAAUCUGACAAAGCCUCCUCACAGAAACCUCUAGGAUUUAAAAUCCAUGGAUUUCUGAAUGUUGAUAGAGUUCGUAAGUUUCAACAUUAUCAAACUGGCUCCUCGAAGCUUCAAAUAUAUUCUUAUUGUCACUUAUUGCAGCCCCAGUUUUGUUUUUCAGAAACCUCAGGCAGUGUUUGAACUAGUCAAACUGACAAUUAUUGCCCCAAUAAGUGUUCAAUAGGUUUUUAUGAUGAUGAGUCUGCUUAAGUACGUCGUAUUAACACCCAAACACCAUGGAAAAUGAUACAAGGCUGCAACCCACUGUGAUGAACAAGAUUACCUGGAAGAUGCGUUCUUGCAAUUCUAGUUAUGACCAUCAAUUCUUGGCCCUAACAAGCUGUAUACAGAGCUCUUUUCAGGUCAGAAAAUGUCACAUUUAAGGUAGCCUGCAAAACUCCUCGUAUACUUAAAUGAGUUUAAGGUUCAAUGGAGAUAUGCCAACAAUAACAAAUGACAUUCCCUCUAAGCUACACUGCACUCCAACCAGCUCUCUUCCCUAUUCCCCUUUCCUUCAUCAGUUCCCUUGCUCUUUCAGCCUCAUCCCAUUUUCCCAUAGAACCAUACAUGUUGGAAAGCAUUAUAUAGUACCCAUCAUUUUCUGGGUCAGAUUCAAUAGCACAUUUUGCCACCCUUAUUCCUAUCUCAAUUUCAUUAUGAAUUUUACAAGCACUUAACAAAGUUCCCCAAACACCUCCAUCAGGACAAAUUGGCAUUGACUGAACCAGAUCUUCAGCUUCUUGUAGGUUACCUGAUCUUCCAAGAAGAUCUGCCAUACAAGCAAAAUGCUUUAGAUUGGGUUUUAUAGAAUAAUAUUGCAUUCUAUCGAACAGUUGCUUCCCUUCAUCAACAUAUCCUGCAUGAGUGCAAGCUGAGAGAAGUGAUAGAAAGGUAAUUGCAUUCGGUUUAACAUUUGAUUGCUCCAUUUGUUGGAAAACCUCCAUUGCAGAAUUUGCAUCUCCAUGCAGUCCAUAACCUGAGAUCAUUACAUUCCAAGAAAUGACAUCUUUCUCCUUCAUUGAGUUGAACAAUUCUCUUGAUUGUUCAAGUUGACCACAUUUUGCAUACAUAUCAACCAAUGCAGUACCAAGAGAAACAUUGAGCUCAAAUCCUCCUUCCUUAAUAUAUUGGUGAACCAUUUUUCCUUUCUCUAAGGAUGGGAGAUGACAGCAAGCUGAAAGAACUAUAACCAAUGUUGCUGAAUUAGGGUUUAAUUUUUCUGAAAUCAUUUCAUCGAAUAAUGUGAUAGCCUCUGCGUAGUGCCCACUGUGAGUAUAUGAUGAGAUCAAGGUGUUCCAUGUGACAACAUCUCUCUGCGUCCUACAAAACAUUUUCCAUGCAAUGGACAAAUUACCACCUUUUCCGUACAUGUCUAUAAGUGAAUUGGCGAUUGAGACAUCUUCAUCCACUGAAUUCUUAAUUAUGUAACAAUGAACUGAUCGACAUAGAUUAAUCAGUCCCAAUUUAGAGCACGAAGAAAUUACAGAGACCAGGCUGUUUGAAUCAGCUUCAAUGCCUAGAUCUCUCAUCUCCCUAAAUAAUUCUAUACACUUCCCUUCUAUUCCCAUCUUACCAUAUCCAAAAACCAUAGUGUUCCAUGACUCUUUACUCCAUUCAUGUACACCAUCAAAAAGCUUCUCUGCGGGGUUUAAAGUUCCAAACUUGCAAUACAUGGAUAACAAAGCAUUGUUAACCGUAUCGUCCAAAACAUAGUUUCUCCUUACAAUCAGUCCAUGAAAGGCUUUUCCCUCUCUCACCAUCAUGGAAUUACCAAAACCCAAAAGGAUGCAACUUACAACAAUCCCAUCUGGAUACACAUCAUCAACCUGCAUAUCCCAAAACAGGUUUAAGCACUCAUUCAUAAACCCAAAUCUUGCACAAACACCAAUUACUGAUGUCCAUGAGAAAACAUCUUUAUCCACAACUUGACAAAAAGAAUUAUGAGCCUCUUCAACAUUCCCACACUUGGAAUACAUUGACAAAAGAGAAGAUUGAACAACUUGAGAGCACCCAAGUCCAGUUUUCACAGCUAAACCAUGCAGACACCUUCCUGCAAUCAUAGCACCCAAAUUCCCACAAGCUUGAAACCCACCUUCUAGUGUCCUAGAAUUAACCUUCUCACCAUCCCCGCCAAUCCUACGCAUCUCACAAAGACACUCCAAACCCUUCUCACUGUCAUCAUUAUGCACAUACCCGAUUACAAGUGCAGUCCAAGACACCACAUCUCUAACAACAAUUUCAUCAAACAUAAGAGAUGCAUCCUCCAUAACCCCACAUUUAGCGUACAUGUAAACAAAAGAUGACCCAACCGCAGAAUUUUCCGCAAAAAGGCCAGAUUUUGAGACCAGCCCAUGAAUGUAUUUCCCCUCUUCAAGCCACAAGAGCUCGGCACAAGUGGCUACAAUCAUGGGAAUUGUAAAUUGGUUUGGUGGGGUAUUAUCAUACCGCAUUUGGAUGUAAAAGUCAAAAGCUUUGAAGUAAUUCCCAUUGGAAAAGUGAGAUUUGAUGAUUGAAUUCCAAAGAAAGGUGUCUUUUUGAUUUGUUGAGUCAAAAACAUAGGUGGAUGAAUGGGGUUUUCUGAAAGAUGCAUAGAGAGAGAUAAGUUUUGAUGAUAUAAAAACAUUGUUUGCAUUGCCAGUAGUGAUUAUGAGAGCAUGGGAUUUGUGUAGAGAUUGGAGAGUUUGGGUCUGGUUAGAGAGAAAAGAGUCUAUGUGACAGUUAAGGUAGUUAGAAGAUGAAUGGUAAGAAAUUUGAAAAGGAGAGGGAAAAAGGCGUCUAAAGAGAUGGUGGGCGGGUUUAAGGAUUACCAUGUCUCUGUCUCGGAUCGCAGAUAGAGAGGAUGACCGUAUAAAUUAUUGUGCUGUAGUUGUAGUAUUAGUCCUUUUUCUAAAUUUUAAUUGCAGGAGAGACACUAAUGUCUCCCUUGGUCUUCGGAUUUUCUAAUAAAUUAGUUUAAGUUAUCCCAAUUUAUACAUAGAAUUCUUUGAGAAAUAACACAAUUGGUUUUGAGAAAGAUUCAAGUACCAUUUCGGAAAGAGAGCAAAUCCCAUUAACUUAGUGGCGCUGUUUUUCCUCCUUGUUUUUACAUUUAUAAACACAAACAUAUAGACUUAACUAUGGAUUUACAUAUUCAUAUAGUUGUUCCUCUUAUUUAGCCUCUUCAAAAAACAUUUUUACUUGACCCUGCCGGGAGGUGGCCUUUUGUGGGGGAGUCUUGUUGUGAGCUUCCACUCACCUGCCUUUGUGAGCUUCCACACCUGUCUCUGUGAAGGUCCAUGAGGUUUAAUAUGGUUACUUCCUCAUGGACAGAGGAGGAACCUGGCCUUGGUUGAGUGGUAACUGCUAAACACAGCUCUUUCCUCUUGCGGUGACAAAAAUAAACUCUUAAUGUCAACUAUGCAGUGCUAUGGAUAGCAAAAGGAUUUUAGAGAUUGACCCCAAAAGUCUUUAUACGAGCUGCUGCCUUGAAGAGCACUAGGACAUCCAACUGGGUUUGGAAUAUUGGAUGGGCUUCAGGACACAAAAGUAACCAUGGCAAGGACCACUCUUUACAUCACAUGCAAGGAUACAGCCCAGGUGUUUACUGUUUAGCUCAAGAACAAAGCAUACAAAAUAAAAAUCCUCGAAAGCAUACAACGAUCGCUUAAUUUCCUCCUUCCUCUUUACUCUGCCCUUUUCCUUCGCCAACCGACACAUCAAACUCUCCAUGGAAAAUAUUCUAUCGUUCAACAUCAUCGUCCUUUUGUUUGUGCAGUCAAAAAAUCAAUACCACUACGGAGUGCGCUACCUACAGCCUGCAGAAUUUAUUACCUGCAGCCUGCAGAAUCUAUUUAAUAUGAGAGGGAGUAAUGAUAUUAUUAUAUUUAUGUGAAUAUAUAUUUAUUAUUAAUAAAUAUUUAAUUUAUUUUUAAUAUUUAUAUAAUAUUAGAUUAAUAAAUAUUUAUGGAUUUAAAGGAAAGACAAAGUUUAUGGAAUAAAAAUGUUUUGUAAAGAUAAUUAUAAAGUUGUUAUAAUUAUGAGAUUUUUAUUGUAUCAAAGCAUUGUUCCUAAAAUAUUUAUGAUGGAUGCUCUCUUCGGUACAUGUUAUGUUUUUUUAUUUAUGAAAGGAAGCAAUUGUUCUCGUAAAUUGAGAUAUAAGAGAUUUCUAGAACUAAUAUGUAGGUAUUUGUCAUGAGACAUGUACACUGAACUGACCCGCUUGAAAAUUUCAUAUAAAGAGAUCAUCCACGUCUAUGGAAAGACUCAUGUGACGGUUGCGUAAAUGAUCUUUAAACUUGAGAUCACUAAGUUAUCUUAUAUAAAAAAUGUUAAUUUUGAUCUUGUUACUUGUUAUCUUAAUCAAGAUAACGAAGAAGUGGAUAUUUGAUAUAAUAUGAACUAUAUAAAAAUACUUAAGUGAUCAAGAGAGAGUUUAUCAUCCUAGAUGAAUUAAAAAAUAUAUAUUUUAUUUAUUCUGAAAUAGUAUUUAUAGAGAAAUCCUUGAUCAAGAAGGAAUAAAAUUUGAAAAAAAUUCUAAAUCUUCUUCUUAUGUAAAGAACAAACAUGAUUUAAUAUGAUAAAUAUAUUUUAUAUUUUAAUAUUAAAUCAAAACGUUAUUAAUAAAAAUAUAUUAAUUACAUUGAAAAAUUAAUCACUCAAAUUAAAUUAAGUCAAUAAAAACUUUUCUAAUAUAUAUCUAUAUCACCAUCGACCAACUAUACAAGGAAUAAAGCAGUUAAGCCUGGAAUAUAAUUCAUUCAUGAGUAUAACACUCUCCCUCCAUAUGCAUUAGACUGAUGGAAAGAGCACAAAAAAGACCUGAACUUAAGUGAUCAUAGCGAUGAAUGUGGUUUCCAAAUACUUCUUCAAGUAGUUCCAUUUACCAUGUUUUCUUCUAAUAAAAACUGUUUAAUCACUCUUCAGCUUUGACUCCCUUUUUAACGCCCUCAAAGUCCUAGUUACAUAAUUCCUCACCAUUCAAACAACUUCCAAAAGGCUUUGAUUUGAGGUAGAGCAAAGGACUGUGAGUUCUACAUCCAUGCCUAUGAUGGUGUAGAAAAAGGGCAGUUCAGCUUUCAUUCAGUAACAUACGAAUAAGCAAUUUUUGGAUAAGCCCAUAAUUAAUAUAGAAUAUAAUAAAUAAAUUAAAACUAAAUGUGCAUAUACAUACAGAGAUACAGAGGAGCAUCCAAAACUCUGUCAGCAACAAAAGGAAUGCAACAAUCACAGAAAAAUUUCUCCAGUUUUUGCAGUGCAAACUUUUCAAAAUAGGAGAUUGCAAGUGUUACCUAACCAGUUUCCUCAGAGAUGAGGGGAUUGAAUUGAUCUACUUUCUCGUCUCUCAAUAAUUAAAUGAGUACAUUUAUAAGCUUCGAAUUGUCUUCAGUGCACGCAAGUUGCAAUCUAAAUAGAGAAAUCAGAAACUCCUGAGUUCUCCUCAUCAUUCUAGGUAGGUAUUUCAAUCUGACUUAGUACCGUUUCCGUGGCUUGCUUGCUUUGAUAAAGGAUGACUGUCAAUGAAGAAAGACUUUAAGUGCUUAUACAGCUCCUUAGGCCUCUCUGCAUUGAGUGCAUGACCGACAUUCUUUAUUAUCACUAAUUCUGCAUUAUCUCCGAUAUGCCUGCACAGGUCAAUGAAGAAAAAUCAUUAACUUAUUAUUGCAUCAACUAGCACAGUUACUAACCACAAAAGUCCCAGUUGAUUGCUGAAUAGAUGACCGUAUCAGGAAGGGGAGUAGGUAGAGCAGGUUCCAAGAUUGUUCAAAAGUGGAUGCUUUUAUGUUCUUUCCUAUUAGAUAGAUAUGAAAGCUUGAAAAGUACACUGAGCUGAACAGGUACUCAAGAAUUGAUUACCUUUCUAAUCUGUGUGCCAAUUCCAGGGGGAAAACCUGGUCAUGUUCUCCCCAGAUUAUUAGUGUAGGCUGCAUAGAGGAAAAAUACUCCUUUUAGAAGGUGCUCAAGAAGAUCAACAGCAGCUAAAUUUGAACCAGAAAAUAUUCACACAUAUAUGUAUUGGAAUUGAAAGAGGUGUUAAUAUUACAGUACCUGAGUUAUCUUAGGAAGAUCUGACAUCUUUCUAUCUUUGUGUAAUGCCUGGAUUAAUUCUUCCUUCUCUUGACGGAAAUCAGUGCACAUUACCUGUUCACAAAACAAAAAUGAUGACAAAACUUCCAAACACGACUCAUUCUACUUCAGAACAACUUACAUGCAACAUAAACGAAUAGUGUGCAAAUUUGAGACGAAAAAAAAGAUGAAAAUGAAAUAGCACUAGAUGUGACAGAAUUCCACUUUCUGCAGCAACGAGAUGUUUUUUGAGUCACAUGCACUCGGUCAAUGAACUACAGUCAACACACAUCAAGGGCCUCUUUGAAGGCCUUUGACAUGAUGCCGAAGAUGAGAAUG